AAUUCCAUGAAUCUUAAAAUAGAUUUUUUUUAUAAAAAUAAUUGAUUGUGGAUGAGAUGAACUAUAAGAAUAAAACGAACAUCUACAUCAUGCAUAUAUGACUCAAAGCUUACAUGCUAUAGUAUGGUAUUUAUUCAUAAUUUGGUUACCAAAUCUCAUGCGUGCAAUGCACGUGUACCUAAUAUUAUCAGUAGGAAACCAUCAUGGUCAAACCCUUCUCGUUGUUGGGUCAAAGGGAUAGAUUGUGUGGGCCCCCCUAAUUGUCGGUAAAGGAUAGUAUAUAUACCUCGGGGAGCCCACAGAUAUGUGUCGCGUCUAUAAGCCGCACAAAGGAGACAUGCUUGGUAAGAAAACCCUGCCCCCUAUACCCUACAUGCGACCUAUUCUUUAAUUUUUUAGAGCAAAAAAUAACCAAUAAAAACAUAGUCUACAAAUUAGCAAAACAAGGAUCCCAAGGUUUAUAUAAUUUCCAUAAUAGGUCACUAUAGAGAUAUAUUAUAUAUCUCUAUAAUGAUCGUGUCAUGGCAUGGCAUUGAAAUGAAGCUUGAGAUAUGCAACUUCCCACCAGGUCACCCAUCCUUGGACUACUCCAGCCCAAGCACGCUUAACUUCUGCGUUCUAUUCGACUAGGCUAGCGGAUGGGAAGCCGCCCCUUGCUGAUAGGAAUUGCCUCCUUGCCAUUAAGGUGUUUCACGUUGGUCACCCUAUGGGACCUACUCCCUUUUAUCACACACAUUUGUGCUUUUAGAAACUGUGUGUGAUAUUUACAUGGCCGGCGUGUCGCCGCUAGCCUUCAAUGCGCACUCACACUGGUAGCUGAUACGUCUCCAAUGUAUCUAUAAUUUUUUAUUGUUCCAUGCUAUUAUAUUAUCUGUUUUGGAUGUUUAAUGGGCUUUAAUAUGCUCUUUUAUAUUAUUUUUGGGACUAACCUAUUAACCGGAGGCCCAGUGCCAGUUUCUAUUUUUUUGCCUAUUUUAGAGUUUCUUAGAAAAGGAAUACCAAACGCAGUCCAAACGGAAUGAAACCUUGGCGAUGAUCUUUCUUGGACCGAAAGCAAACCAGAAGACUUGGAGUUGAAGUCUGGAACUCCACGAGGCGGCCACGAGGCAGGAGGGCACGCCCAAGGGGGUAGGCACGCGCCCCACCCUCGUGGGCCCCUCAUAGCUCCACCGACAUACUUCUUUCGCCUAUAUAUACUCUUAUACCCUAGAUCGAUCAGAGACAGCCACGAAACCACUUUUCCACCGCCGCAACCUUCUGUACUCGUGCGAUCCCAUCUUGGGGCCUUUUCCGGCGAUCUGCUGGAGGGGGAAUCAAUCACGGAGGGCUUCUACAUCAACACCAUUGCCUCUCCGAUGAAGCGUGAGUAGUUUACCACAGACCUUCGGGUCCAUAGUUAUUAGCUAGAUGGCUUCUUCUCUCUCUUUGAUUCACAAUACAAAGUUCUCCUCAAUGUUCUUGGAGAUCUAUUCGAUGUAAUACUCUUUUGCGGUGUGUUUUCCGAGAUCCGAUGAAUUGUGGAUUUAUGAACAAGAUUAUCUAUGAAUAUUAUUUGGUUCUUCUCUGAAUUCUUAUAUGCAUGAUUUGAUAUCUUUGCAAGUCUCUUCGAAUUAUCGGUUUAGUUUGGCCUACUAGAUUGAUCUUUCUUGUAAUGGGAGAAGUGCUUAGCUUUGGGUUCAAUCUUGCGGUGUCCUUUCCCAGUGACAGUAGGGGCAGCAAGGCACGUAUUGUAUUGUUGCCAUCGAGGAUAAAAAGAUGGGGUUUAUAUCAUAUUGCUUGAGUUUAUCCCUCUACAUCAUGUCAUCUUGCUUAAUGCGUUACUCUGUUCUUAUGAACUUAAUACUCUAGAUGCAUGCUGGAUAGCGGUCGAUGUGUGGAGUAAUAGUAGUAGAUGCAGAAUCGUUUCGAUCUACUUGACACGGACGUGAUGCCUAUAUUCAUGAUCAUUGCCUGAGAUAUCUUCAUAACUAUGCGCUUUUCUAUCAAUUGCUCGGCAGUAAUUUGUUCACCCACCGUAAUACAUGCUAUCUUGAGAGAAGCCACUAGUGAAACCUAUGGCCCCCGGGUCUCUUUCUUAUUAUAUUGCAUCUCUUUUAUUUACAUCGCAUCUCGUUUACUAUUUUACAAUCUUUACUUUCUAAUCUAUACGACAAAAAUACCAAAAACAUUUACUUUACUAUCUUUAUUAGAUCUCAAUUUUGCGAGUGACCAUGAAGGGAUGACAACCCCUUUAUCGUGUUGGUUGCAAGGUUCUUGAUUGUUUGUGCAGGUACUAGGUGACUUGUGUGUUGUCUCCUACUGGAUUGAUACCUUGGUUCUCAAAACUGAGGGAAAUACUUACGCUACUUUGCUGCAUCACCCUUUCCUCUUCAAGGGAAAACCAACGCAUGCUCAAGAGGUAGCAGCAGCGGGAAAACGAUCGGAGAAGAGGCGGGAACCGAUGAGAGGAAGGCGGGAAACGGUAGCCUCUUUAGAAAAUGUAGUAGAGAAGGAAGCAUGAGCUAGCACGACGCAUGCGCACGGUGCUUACGCAUGUACUGCAUGUGCUGUCGAAAGGGCUUAGGGUCGCCGUUCGAUCUGGGAGCAUCCAACGGUGCACCGUUAUGAUCCGUGGGGUUUGGGUUCUGGCCAAUCAGAUCGCGCGUGCAGCCGGGGGGGGGGGCAUCGGCCAUGGUUUGGUAGGCACACGGCUUUCGUGAGUGAACCGUGUGCUAUUUGAAAACAUUUCGUGAGAAGAAUCUCGGUUUUUAAAUCCCUGUAAAUCCAAAACUCUGUUGGGGAACGUAGUAAUUUCAAAAAUAUUCCUACGCACACACAGGAUCAUGGUGAUGCAUAGCAACGAGAGGGGAGAGUGUUGUCCACGUACCCUCGUAGACCGAAAGCGGAAGCAUUAGCACAACACGGUUGAUGUAGUCGUACGUCUUCAUGAUCCGACCGGUCAAGUACCAAACGUAGGGCACCUCCGAGUUCAGCACACGUUCAGCUCGGUGACGUCCCUCGAACUCCGAUCCAGCCGAGCUUUGAGGGAGAGUUCCGUCAGCACGACGGCGUGGUGACAAUGAUGAUGUUCUACGGACGCAGGGCUUCGCCUACGCACCGCUACGAUAUUAUCGAGGUGGACUAUGGUGGAGGGGGCACCGCACACGGCUAAGAGAUCCAAGGGAUCAAUUGUUGUGUCUAGAGGUUCCCCCCUGCCCCCGUAUAUAAAGGAGCAAGGGGGGAGAGGCGGCCGGCCAGGAGGAGGCACGCCAGGGAGGAGUCCUACUCCCACCGGGACUAGGACUCCCUCCUUUCCUAGUUGGAGUAGAAGGGGGAAGGAGGAGGGAGAGAGGAAGGAAAGGGGGGCGCCACCCCCCUCCUUGUCCAAUUCGGACUAGAGGGGGAGGGGGCGUGCGGCCUGCCCUGGCCGCCCCUCCUCUUCUCCACUAAGGCCCAUCUUGGCCCAUUUAACCCCCGAGGGGGUUCCGGUAACACCCGGUACUCCGGUAAAAUCCCGAUUUCACCCGGAACACUUCCGAUAUCCAAAUAUAGGCUUCCAAUAUAUCAUUCUUUAUGUCUCGACCAUUUUGAGACUCAUCAUCAUGUCCGUGAUCACAUCCGGGACUCCGAACUACCUUCGGUAUACCAAAACACAUAAACUCAUAAUAUAACCGUCAUUGAACUUUAAGCGUGCGGACCCUACGGGUUCGAGAACUAUGUAGACAUGACCGAGACAUUUCUCCGGUCAAUAACCAAUAGCGGAACCUGGAUGCUCAUAUUGGCUCCCACAUAUUCUAUGAAGAUCUUUAUCGGUCAAACCGCAUAACAACAUACGUUGUUCCCUUUCUCAUCGGUAUGUUACUUGCCCGAGAUUCGAUCGUCGGUAUCUCAAUACCUAGUUCAAUCUCGUUACCGGCAAGUCUCUUUACUCCUUCCGUAAUACAUCAUCCCACAACUAACUCAUUAGUUGCAAUGCUUGCAAGGCUUAUAGUGAUGUGCAUUACCGAGUGGGCCCACAGAUACCUCUCCGACAAUCGGAGUGACAAAUCCUAAUCUCGAAAUACGCCAACCCAACAAGUACCUUCAGAGACACCUGUAGAGCACCUUUAUAAUCACUCAGUUACGUUGUGACGUUUGGUAGCACACAAAGUGUUCCUCCGGUAAACGGGAGUUGCAUAAUCUCGUAGUCAUAGGAACAUGUAUAAGUCAUGAAGAAAGCAAUAGCAGAAUACUAAACGAUCGAGUGCUAAGAUAACAGAAUGGGUCAAGUCAAUCACAUCAUUCUCCUAAUGAUGUGAUCCCGUUAAUCAAAUGACAACUCAUGUCAAUGGCUAGGAAACAUAACCAUCUUUGAUCAACGAGCUAGUUAAGUAGAGGCAUACUAGUGACACUCUGUUUGUCUAUGUAUUCACACAAGUAUUAUGUUUCCGGUUAAUACAAUUCUAGCAUGAAUAAUAAACAUUUAGCAUGAUAUAAGGAAAUAUAUAAUAACUUUAUUAUUGCCUCUAGGGCAUAUUUCCUUCAGUAUCCCACUUGCACUAGAGUCAAUAAUAUAGAUUACACAAUAAUGAUUCUAACACCCAUGGAGCCUUGGUGCUGAUCAUGUUUUGCUCGUGGAAGAGGCUUAGUCAACGGGUCUGCAACAUUCAGAUCCGUAUGUAUCUUGCAAAUUUCUAUGUCUCCCACCUAGACUUGAUCCCGGAUUGAGUUGAAGCGUCUCUUGAUGUGCUUGGUUCUCUUGUGAAAUCUGGAUUCCUUUGCCAAGGCAAUUGCACCAGUAUUGUCACAAAAGAUUUUCAUUUGACCCGAUGCACUAGGUAUGACACCUAGAUCGGAUAUGAACUCCUUCAUCCAGACUCCUUCAUUUGUUGCUUCCGAAGCAGCUAUGUACUCCGCUUCACACGUAGAUCCCGCCGCAACGCUUUGUUUAGAACUGCACCAACUAACAGCUCCACCAUUCAAUGUAAACACGUAUCCGGUUUGCGAUUUAGAAUCGUCCGGAUCAGUGUCAAAGCUUGCAUCGACGUAACCAUUUACGACUAGCUCUUUGUCACCUCCAUAAAUGAGAAACAUAUCCUUAGUCCUUUUCAGGUAUUUCAGGAUGUUCUUGACCGAUGUCCAGUGAUCCACUCCUGGAUUACUUUGGUACCUCCCUGCUAAACUUAUAGCAAGGCACGUAUCAGGUCUGGUACACAGCAUUGCAUACAUGAUAGAGCCUAUGGCUGAAGCAUAGGGAACAUCUUUCAUCUUCUCUCUAUCUUCUACAGUGGUCGGGCAUUGAGUCUUACUCAACUUCACACCUUGUAACACAGGCAAGAACCCUUUCUUUGCUUGAUCCAUUUUGAACUUCUUCAAAACUUUGUCAAGGUAUGUGCUUUGUGAAAGUCCAAUUAAUCGUCUUGAUCUAUCUCUAUAGAUCUUGAUGCCCAAUAUAUAAAUAGCUUCACCGAGGUCCUUCAUUGAAAAACUCUUAUUCAAGUAUCCCUUUAUGCUAUCCAGAAAUUCUAUAUCAUUUCCAAUCAGCAAUAUGUCAUCCACAUAUCAUAUCAGAAAUGCUACAUAGCUCCCACUCACUUUCUUCUAAAUACAGGCUUCUCCAAAAGUCUGUAUAAAACCAUAUGCUUUGAUAGCACUAUCAAAGCGUUUAUUCCAACUCCGAGAGGCUUGCACCAGUCCAUAAAUGGAUCGAUGGAGCUUGCACACUUUGUUAGCUCCCUUUGGAUCGACAAAACCUUCCGGCUGCAUCAUAGACAACUCUUCUUCCAGAAAUCCAUUCAGGAAUGCAGUUUUAACAUCCAUUUGCCAAAUUUCAUAAUCAUAAAAUGCGGCAAUUGCUAACAUGAUUCGGACAGACUUAAGCAUCGCUACGGGUGAGAAAGUCUCAUCGUAGUCAAUCCCUUGAACUUGUCGAAAACCUUUUGCAACAAGUCGAGCUUUAUAGACAGUAACAUUACCGUCAGCGUCAGUCUUCUUCUUGAAGAUCCAUUUAUUCUCAAUGGCUUGCCGAUCAUCGGGCAAGUCAACCAAAGUCCACACUUUGUUCUCAUACAUGGAUCCCAUCUCAGAUUUCAUGGCCUCAAGCCAUUUUGCGGAAUCUGGGCUCACCAUCGCUUCUUCAUAGUUCGUAGGUUCGUCAUGGUCUAGUAACAUAACAUCCAGAAUAGGAUUACCGUACCACUCUGGUGCGGAUCUUAAUCUGGUUGAUCUACGAGGUUCAGUAACAACUUGAUCUGAAGUUUCAUGAUCAUCAUCAUUAACUUCCUCACUAAUUGGUGUAGGUGUCACAGGAACCGGUUUCUGUGAUGAACUACUUUCCAAUAAGGGAGCAGGUACAGUUACCUCAUCAAGUUCUACUUUCCUCCCACUCACUUCUUUCGAGAGAAAAUCCUUCUCUAGAAAGGAUCCAAAUUUAGCAACAAAAGUCUUGCCUUCAGAUCUGUGAUAGAAGGUGUACCCAACAGUUUCCUUUGGGUAUCCUAUGAAUACACAUUUCUCCGAUUUGGGUUCGAGCUUAUCAGGUUGAAGCUUUUUCACAUAAGCAUCGCAGCCUCAAACUUUAAGAAACGACAACUUUGGUUUCUUGCCAAACCACAGUUCAUAAGCGUCGUCUCAACGGAUUUCGAUGGUGCCCUAUUUAAUGUGAAUGCAGCCGUCUCUAAAGCAUAACCCCAAAAUGAUAGUGGUAAAUCAGUAAGAGGCAUCAUAGAUCGCACCAUAUCUAGUAAAGUACGAUUACGACGUUCGGACACACCAUUACGCUGUGGUGUUCCAGGUGGCGUGAGUUGCGAAACUAUUCCGCAUUGUUUCAAAUGAAGACCAAACUCGUAACUCAAAUAUUCUCCUCCACGAUCAGAUCGUAGGAACUUUAUUUUCUUGUUACGAUGAUUUUCAACUUCACUCUGAAAUUCUUUGGACUUUUCAAAUGUUUCAGACUUAUGUUUCAUUAAGUAGAUAUACCCAUAUCUGCUUAAAUCAUCUGUGAAGGUGAGAAAAUAACGAUACCCGCCGCGAGCCUCAACAUUCAUCGGACCACAUACAUCUGUAUGUAUGGUUUCCAACAAAUCUGUUGCUCGCUCCAUAGUUCCGGAGAAUGGCGUUUUAGUCAUCUUGCCCAUGAGGCACGGUUCGCAAGUACCAAGUGAUUCAUAAUCAAGUGGUCCCAAAAGUCCAUCAGUAUGGAGUUUCUUCAUGCGCUUUACACCAAUAUGACCUAAACGGCAGUGCCACAAAUAAGUUGCACUAUCAUUAUCAACUUUGUAUCUUUUGGCUUCAAUAUUAUGAAUAUGUGUAUCACUACUAUCGAGAUUCAACAAAAAUAGACCACUCUUCAAGGGUGCAUGACCAUAAAAGAUAUUACUCAUAUAAAUAGAACAACCAUUAUUCUCUGAUUUAAAUGACUAACCGUCUCGCAUCAAACAAGAUCCAGAUAUAAUGUUCAUGCUCAACGCUGGCACCAAAUAACAAUUAUUCAGGUCUAAAACUAAUCCCGAAGGUAGAUGUAGAGGUAGCGUGCCGACCGCGAUCACAUUGACUUUGGAACCAUUUCCCACGCGCAUCGUCACCUCGUCCUUAGCUAAUCUUCGCUUAAUCCGUAGUCCCUGUUUUGAGUUGCAAAUAUUAGCAACAGAACCAGUAUCAAAUACCCAGUUGCUACUGCGAGCAUUAGUAAGGUACACAUCAAUAACAUGUAUAUCACAUAUACCUUUGUUCACCUUGCCAUCCUUCUUAUCCGCCAAAUACUUGGGGCAGUUAUGCUUCCAGUGACCAGUCUGUUUGCAGUAGAAGCACUCAGUCUCAGGCUUAGGUCCAGACUUGGGUUUCUUCUCCUGAGCAGCAACUUGUUUGCUGUUCUUCUUGAAGUUCUCCUUCUUCUUCCCUUUGCCCUUUUUCUUGAAACUGGUGGUCUUGUUGACCAUCAACACUUGAUGCUCCUUCUUGAUUUCUACCUCCGCAGCCUUUAGCAUUGCGAAGAGCUCGGGAAUCGUCUUAUCCCUCCCUUGCAUGUUAUAGUUCAUCACAAAGCUCUUGUAGCUUGGUGGCAGUGAUUGAUGAAUUCUGGCAAUGAUGCUAUCAUCCGAAAGAUUAACUCCCAGUUGAAUCAAGUGAUUGUUCUACCCAGACAUUCUGAGUAUAUGCUCACUGACAGAACUAUUCUCCUCCAUCUUACAGCUGUAGAACUUAUUGGAGACUUCAUAUCUCUCAAUCCGAGCAUUUGCUUGAAAUAUUAACUUCAACUCUUGGAACAUCUCAUAUGCUCCAUGACGUUCAAAACGUCGUUGAAGUCCCGGUUCUAAGUCGUAAAGCAUGGCACACUGAACUAUCGAGUAGUCAUCAGCUUUGCUCUGCCAGACAUUCAUAACAUCUGGUGUUGCUCCUGCAGCAGGUCUGGCACCUAGCGCUGCUUCCAGGAUGUAAUUCUCUGUGCAGCAAUGAGGAUAAUCCUCAAUUUACGGACCCAGUCUGUGUAAUUGCUACCAUCAUCUUUCAACUUUGCUUUCUCAAGGAACGCAUUAAAAUUCAAUGGAACAACAGCACGGGCCAUCUAUCUACAAUCAACAUAGAGAAGCAAAAUACUAUCAGGUACUAAGUUCAUGAUAAAUUUAAGUUCAAUUAAUCAUAUUACUUAAGAACUCCCACUUAGAUAGACAUCCCUCUAAUCCUCUAAGUGAUCACGUGAUCCAAAUCAACUAAACCAUGUCCGAUCAUCACGUGAGAUGGAGUAGUUUCAAUGGUGAACAUCACUAUGUUGAUCAUAUCUACUAUAUGAUUCACGCUCGACCUUUCGGUCUCAGUGUUCCGAGGCCAUAUCUGCAUAUGCUAGGCUCGUCAAGUUUAACCUGAGUAUUCCGCGUGUGCAACUGUUUUGCACCCGUUGUAUUUGAACGUAGAGCCUAUCACACCCGAUCAUCACGUGGUGUCUCAGCACGAAGAACUUUCGCAACGGUGCAUACUCAGGGAGAACACUUGUACCUUGACAAUUUAGUGAGAGAUCAUCUUAUAAUGCUACCGUCAAUCAAAGCAAGAUAAGAUGCAUAAAAGAUAAACAUCACAUGCAAUCAAUAUAAGUGAUAUGAUAUGGCCAUCAUCAUCUUGUGCUUGUGAUCUCCAUCUCCAAAGCACCGUCAUGAUCACCAUCGUCACCGGCACGACACCUUGAUCUCCAUCGUAGCAUCGUUGUCGUCUCGCCAACUUAUGCUUCUACGACUAUCGCUACCGCUUAGUGAUAAAGUAAAGCAUUACAGGGCGAUUGCAUUGCAUACAAUAAAGCGACAACCAUAUGGCUCCUGCCAGUUGCUGAUAACUCGGUUACAAAACAUGAUCAUCUCAUACAAUAAAAUAUAGCAUCAUGUCUUGACCAUAUCACAUCACAACAUGCCCUGCAAAAACAAGUUAGACGUCCUGUACUUUGUUGUUGCAAGUUUUACGUGGCUGCUACGGGCUGAGCAAGAACCGUUCUUACCUACGCAUCAAAACCACAAUGAUAGUUCAUCAAGUUAGUGCUGUUUUAACCUUCUCAAGGACCGGGCGUAGCCACACUUGGUUCAACUAAAGUUGGAGAAACUGACACCCGCCAGCCACCUGUGUGCAAAGCACGUCGGUAGAACCAGUCUCGCGUAAGCGUACGCGUAAUGUCGGUCCGGGCCGCUUCAUCCAACAAUACCGCCGAAACCAAUGUAUGACAUGCUGGUAAGCAGUAUAACUUGUAUCGCCCACAACUCACUUGUGUUCUACUCGUGCAUAUAACAUCUACGCAUAAAACCAGGCUCGGAUGCCACUGUUGGGGAACGUAGUAAUUUCAAAAAAAUUCCUAGGCACACACAGGAUCAUGGUGAUGCAUAGCAACAAGAGGGGAGAGUGUUGUCCACGUACCCUCGUAGACCGAAAAUGGAAGCAUUAGCACAACGCGGUUGAUGUAGUCGUACGUCUUCACGAUCCGACCGAUCAAGUACCGAACGUACGACACCUCCGAGUUCAGCACACGUUCAGCUCGAUGACAUCCCUCAAACUCCGAUCCAGCCGAGCUUUGAGGGAGAGUUCCGUCAGCACGACGGUGUGGUGACGAUGAUGAUGUUCUACCGACGCAGGGCUUCGCCUAAGCACCGCUACGAUAUUAUCGAGGUGGACUAUGGUGGAGGGGGGGCACCGCACACGGCUAAGAGAUCCAAGGGAUCAAUUGUUGUGUCUAGAGGUGCCCCCUGCCCCCGUAUAUAAAGGAGCAAGGGGGGAGAGGCGGCCGGCCAGGAGGAGGCGCGCCAGGGAGGAGUCCUACUCCCACCGGGAGUAGGACUCCCUCCUUUCCUAGUUGGAGUAGGAGAAGGGGGAAGGAGGAGGGAGAGAGGAAGGAAAGGGGGGCGCCGCCCCCCCUCCUUGUCCAAUUCAGACUAGAGGGGGAGGGGGCGGGGCCUCCCCUGGCUGCCCCUCCUCUUCUCCACUAAGGCCCAUCUUGGCCCAUUAAACCCCUGGGGGGUUCCGGUAACCCCCGGUACUCCGGUAAAAUCCCGAUUUCACCCGGAACACAUCCGAUAUCCAAAUAUAGGCUUCCAAUAUAUCAUUCUUUAUGUCUCGACCAUUUUGAGACUCAUCAUCAUGUCCGUGAUCACAUCCGGGACUCCGAACUACCUUCGGUAUACCAAAACACAUAAACUCAUAAUAUAACCGUCAUUGAACUUUAAGCGUGCGGACCCUACGGGUUCGAGAACUAUGUAGACAUGACCGAGACAUUUCUCCGGUCAAUAACCAAUAGCGGAACCUGGAUGCUCAUAUUGGCUCCCACAUAUUCUACGAAGAUCUUUAUCGGUCAAACCGCAUAACAACAUACGUUGUUCCCUUUGUCAUCGGUAUGUUACUUGCCCGAGAUUCGAUCGUCGGUAUCUCAAUACCUAGUUCAAUCUCGUUACCGGCAAGUCUCUUUACUCAUUCCGUAAUACAUCAUCCCGCAACUAACUCAUUAGUUGCAAUGCUUGCAAGGCUUAUAGUGAUGUGCAUUACCGAGUCGGCCCAGGGAUACCUCUCCGACAAUCGGAGUGACAAAUCCUAAUCUCAAAAUACGCCAACCCAACAAGUACCUUCGGAGACACCUGUAGAGCACCUUUAUAAUCACCCAGUUACGUUGUGACGUUUGGUAGCACACAAAGUGUUCCUCCGGUAAACGGGAGUUGCAUAAUCUCAUAGUCAUAGAAACAUGUAUAAGUCAUGAAGAAAGCAAUAGCAGAAUACUAAACGAUCGAGUGCUAAGCUAACGGAAUGGGUCAAGUCAAUCACAUCAUUCUCCUAAUGAUGUGAUCCCGUUAAUCAAAUGACAACUCAUGUCAAUGGCUUGGAAACAUAACCAUCUUUGAUCAACGAGCUAGUCAAGUGGAGGCAUACUAGUGACACUCUGUUUGUCUAUGUAUUCACACAAGUAUUAUGUUUCCGGUUAAUACAAUUCUAGCAUGAAUAAUAAACAUUUAGCAUGAUAUAAGGAAAUAAAUAAUAACUUUAUUAUUGCCUCUAGGGCAUAUUUCCUUCAAACUCACCCGAAAAUCGUGAAACCUGGCAUGGUGUCACGACAUGGCACAUAUAUGUCGAGAAUUUUUUUCGCCCAUUUUGGCGCAAGUUUUAUUACAAGCCUCUUACAAACCGGAGCUUCUAUCAAAGAAGCCUUGUGGUUCCGAUAAGGAAACGUGUCCCCCUUGUGGGCGAAACGUAAUCACUGCCUCUUUUCGCCUUGUAUUUUCUCCUACGGGCAACAUGGAACGACAGGAUAUUCGUGCUAAAAUUUAAACUUAUUUAGGGUUCAUUUGGCCUUUUUAUACACUAAUUGAGUUUCCUAGGCAUUUAAUAUCCAUAAUUCAAAUCUGAACUUCAAAUACAUGCUCCAGUUCACCAAAAUGGCUAGAAAAUUUAUACAUGUGUCCUUGGGUGCAUGUUUAGGUCCCAUGCCAGGAGUGGGAACGAAUUACAACCGUACCGGCGUCCUGGCUCGUCCUCAAACAUUUGGAAUCUUAGUUUUCAAAUCCCCGUAAACCCUAAACUCACCAGAAAGUCAUCAAAGGUGGCAUGGUGUCACGUCAUGACACAUAUAUGUCGUGGUAAAAACAUUGUCCAAUUUGGGUCAAGCUUUAUUAUAACCUCUUACAAACUGGAGCUUCUCUCAAAGAAGCCUCGUGGUUCCGAUAGGGAAAUGUGUUCCCCUUGCGGGCGAAAUGUAAUCAAUGCCUCUUUUCGCCUUGUAUUUUCUUCUAUGGCAACAUGGAAUGACAGGAUAUCCGUGCUGAAAUUUAUACUUAUUCAGGGUUCGUUUGGCCUUUUUAUACAUUAAUUGAGUUUCCUAGCCAUUUAAUGUCGAUAAUUCAAAUCUGAACUACAAAUACAUGCUCCAGUUCACCAAAAUGGCUAGAAAAAUUAUACAUGUGUCCUUGGGUGCAUGUUUAGGUCCCAUGCCAGGAAUGGGAACGAAUUACAACCGUACCGGCGUCCUUGCUCGUCCUCAAACGUUUCGAAUCUCGGUUUUUAAAUCCCCAUAAAUCCAAAACUCACAGGAAAGUCAUCAAAGGUGGCACGGUGUCACGUCAUGGCACAUAUAUGUCGUGGUAAAAACAUUUUCAAUUUGGGCCAAGCUUUGUUACAAACCGGAGCCUGUCGCAAGAACCCUCGUGGUUUCGAUAGGCAAAUGUAUCCCCUUGUGGGCCAAACGAUAAUCGCUCCCUCUUCUAGUCUCGUAUUUUCUUCUACACGCAACAGGAACAACGGGAGAUUCGCGCUAAACUUUGAAAUUAUUCAAGGUUCGUUUGACCUUUUUAUUCAUUAAUUGAGUUUUCUAGGCAUUUAAUGUCCAUAAUUCAAAUCCGAACUACAAAUACAUGCUCCAGUGCACCAAAAUGGCUAGAAAAACAUACAUGUUUCCUUGGGGUGCAUGUUUAGGUCCCAUGGAACGAAUGGGACUGAAUUCAACUGUCUCGCCGUCCUGGCUUGGCCACAAACUACUGUGCUCAUGCAGCAUCUUCCAACCGGCGGCCUCCUCCUCCUUCUCGGUGAGCGCCUUGAGGAGCUUCGCAUUGUCACCCAUGAGUUGCUUGACGAGGCCGGUCACCUUGUCAACCGAGGCAUCGCUGAUCUUGAGCAGCUUCAUCAAGCCGUCGACCAGCUCCUGCUGCUUAAUGACGCCAGCGAGAAUGUCGUCGUCGCCGGCCAAGGACUUCAGGAACGCCAGCUCGUCGCGAUGGCUCACGCCGCGAGUGCGCUUGUGAUAGCCCUCGCGUGCCCAUGAGAGCUCGUUCGAGGGCUCCGCGACUGAUAACCCACAAGUAUAGGGGAUCGCAACAGCUUUCGAGGGUAGAGUAUUCAACCCAAAUUUAUUGAUUCGACACAAGGGGAGCCAAGGAAUAUUCUCAAGUAUUAGCAGUUGAGUUGUCAAUUCAACCACACCUGGAUAACUUAGUAUCUGCAGCAAAGUAUUUAGUAGCAAAGUAGUAUGGAAGUAACGGUAACGGUAGCAAAAGCAAUAUUUUUGGGUUUUGUAGUGAUUGUAACAGUAGCAACGGAAAAGUAAAUAAGCGAAGAACAAUAUGUGGAAAGCUCGUAGGCAUUGGAUCGGUGAUGGAGAAUUAUGCCGGAUGCGGUUCAUCAUGUAACAGUCAUAACAUAGGGUGACACAGAACUAGCUCCAAUUCAUCAAUGUAAUGUAGGCAUGUAUUCCGAAUAUAGUCAUACGUGCUUAUGGAAAAGAACUUGCAUGACAUCUUUUGUCCUACCCUCCCAUGGCAGCGGGGUCCUAGUGGAAACUAAGGGAUAUUAAGGCCUCCUUUUAAUAGAGUACCGGACCAAAGCAUUAACACAUAGUGAAUACAUGAACUCCUCAAACUACGGUUAUCACCGGGAGUGGUCCCGAUUAUUGUCACUUCGGGGUUGCCAGAUCAUAACACAUAGUAGGUGACUAUAGACUUGCAAGAUAGGAUCAAGAACUCACAUAUAUUCAUGAAAACAUAAUAGGUUCAGAUCUGAAAUCAUGGCACUCGGGCCCUAGUGACAAGCAUUAAGCAUAGCAAAGUCAUAGCAACAUCAAUCUCAGAACAUAGUGGAUACUAGGGAUCAAACCCUAAAAAAACUAACUCAAUUACAUGAUAAAUCUCAUCCAACCCAUCACCGUACAGCAAGCCUACGAUGGAAUUACUCAUGCACGGCGGGGAGCAUCAUGAAAUUGGUGAUGGAGGAUGGUUGAUGAUGACGAUGGCGACGGAUUCCCCUCUCCGGAGCCCUGAACGGACUUCAGAUCAGCUCUCCCGAGAGAGAUUAGGGCUUAGCGGCGGCUCCGUGUCGUAAAACGCGAUGAAUCUUUUUCUCUGAUUUUUUUCUCCCCGAACACAAAUAUAUGGAGUUGGAGUUGAGGUCGGUGGAUCUCCAGGGGGCCCACGAGGCAGGGGGCGCGCCCCCACCCUCGUGGAAAGGGUGUGGCCCCCUGGCCUUGUUUCUUUCGCCAGUAUUUUUUUUUAUUGCCAAAAAUAAUCUCCGUGAAGUUUCAGGUCAUUCUGAGAACUUUUGUUUCUGCACAUAAAUAACACCAUGGCAAUUCUGCUGAAAACAGCGUCACUCCGGGUUAGUUCCAUUCAAAUCAUGCAAGUUAGAGUCCAAAACAAGGGCAAAAGUGUUUGGAAAAGUAGAUACGAUGGAGACGUAUCAACUCCCCCAAGCUUAAACCUUUGCUUGUCCUCAAGCAAUUCAGUUGAUAAACUGAAAGUGAUAAAGAAAACUUUUACAAACUCUGCUCUUGUUGUUGUAAAUAUGUAAAGCUAGCAUUCAAGUUUUCAGCAAAGAUUAUGACUAACCAUAUUCACAAUAACACUUAGGUCUCAUGUUUCCUCAUAUCAAUGGCAUAAUCAACUAGCGAGCAAUAAUAAUAAAUCUCGAAUGACAACACUUUCUCAAAACAAUCAUGAUAUGAUAUGAUAUAACAAGAUGGUAUCUCGCUAGCCCUUUCCGAGACCGCAAAACAUAAAUGCAGAGCACCUUUAAAGAUCAAGGACUGACUAAACAUUGUAAUUCAUGGUAAAAGAGAUCCAAUCAUAGUCAUACCCAAUAUAAAUUAAUAGUAAUGGAUGCAAAUGACAGCGGUGCUCUCCAGCUGGUGCUUUUUCAUAAGAGGGUGAUGAAUCAACAUAAAAGUAAAUAGAUAGGCCCUUCGCAGAGGGAAGCACGGAUUUGUAGAGGUGCCAGAGCUCGAUUUUUGAAAUAGAGAUAAAUAAUAUUUUGAGCGGCAUACUUUCAUUGUCAACAUAACAACCAAGAGAUGGCGAUAUCUUCCAUGCUACACACAUUAUAGGCGGUUCCCAAACAGAAUGGUAAAGUUUAUACUCCCCCUCCACCAACAAGCAUCAAUCCAUGGCUUGCUCGAAACAACGAGUGCCUCUAACUAGCAACAGUCCCGGGGGAGUUUUGUUUGCAAUUAUUUUGAUUUGAUUUGCAUAAAGCAUGGGACUGGGCAUCCCGGUGACCAGCCAUUUUCUCGUGAGUGAGGAGCGGAGUCCACUCCUCUUGAGAAUAACCCGCCUAACAUGGAAGAUACGGACAGCCCUAGUUGAUACAUGAGCUAUUCGAGCAUACAAAAUAGAAUUUCAUUUGAAGGUUUAGAGUUUGGCACAUACAAAUUUACUUGGAACGGCAGGUAGAUACCGCAUAUAGGAAGGUAUAGUGGACUCAUAUGGCAUAACUUUGGGGUUUAAGGGAUUGGAUGCACAAGCAGUAUUCCCGCUUAGUACAAGUGAAGGCUAGAAAAAGACUGGGAAGCGACCAACUAGAGAUCGACAACAGUCAUGAACAUGCAUUAAAAUUAAUGAACAUUGAGUGCAAGCAUGAGUAGGAUAUAAUCCACCAUGAACAUAAAUAUCGUGAAGGCUAUGUUGAUUUGUUUCAACUACAUGUGUGAACAUGUGCCAAGUCAAGUCACUUGAAUCAUUCAAAGGAGGAUACCACCCCAUCAUACCACAUCACAACCAUUUUAAUAGCCUGUUGGCACGCAAGGUAAACCAUUAUAAACUCCUACCUAAUUAAGCAUGGCAUAAGCAACUAUAAUCUCUAAUUGUCAUUGCAAACAUGUUUAUUCAUAAUAGGCUGAAUCAGGAACGAUGAACUAAUCAUAUUUACAAAAACAAGAGAGGUCGACUUCAUACCAGCUUCUCUCAUCUCAAUCAGUCCAUCAUAUAUCGUCAUAAUUGCCUUUCACUUGCACGACCGAACGAUGUGAAUAAUAAUAAUAGUGCACGUGCAUUGGACUAAGGUGGAACCUGCAAGCAUUCAAUAAACAGGAGAAGACAAGGCAAUAUGGGCUCUCGGUUAAAUCAACAAUAAUGCAUAUAAGAGCCACUUCAACAUUUUCAUCAUGGUUUUCUCCUAUCGACCCCCAAGGAAAAGAAAGGAAAUAAAACUAUUUACACGGGAAAGCUCCCAACAAGCAAAAGAAGAACAGGAAAUCUUUUUGGGUUUUCUUUUAAUUACUACUAUUACAGCAAGAAAGUAAACUAGCUAAAAGCUACUACUAUUUUUUUUGUUUUUCUUAAGGUUUUUCAAACACACAAGAAGAAAUCAUAAAAAGGAAAAUAAACUAGCAUGGAUAUUACAGUGAAAAAGUAUGAGCACCGACAUCUAGCAAUGAGUGUGUAAACAUGAAUGUAAUGUCGGUGAGAGAUACGUACUCCCCCAAGCUUAGGCUUUUGGCCUAAGUUGGUCUAUUGCCACUGCUGGCCUGGCGGAUAUCCAAAGUUGUAGUUGGGGUCGUACUAAGAAGAAGAAGCCUCUGAUUGCCACUGGUUGGCAAUCAUCUCCGGAUCCCACUGGUAAUUAGACUGUCAUGGAGGAUCAAAUUGUGGUUCUGGCUCUGGCUCUAUGGCUGAUGUAGGGCUCCGGUACGCUUGGAUGGUCGCUAGCGGAACGAGAUACUGACAUGCAGAUAAAUCAAACAAGGAAGGAGCGGGCAAGGUAAUAGUCUCAGGGUGAUUUUUAUCAAAUAACAAUUUGUAUUUAAGCGCCCUUUCCCUAUUCUUAACAAUAAAAUCAUGUGCUACCAUACUCUUAUAAUCUAAAUAAACAGUAGGCAGCAAUUUUUCUUCUUUCUCAUAGUGCCUAAUAGGUAUGUUAUAGUAUGCAGCGAGGCGUGAGGCGAAGAUGCCUUCCAAGAUGGGGACCUUAGUACGGUUAAGAUUUAACCGCUUUGCAACAAUAGCGGCCAUACCAAAUGUAUCAUCACGAAACAAGGCAUGGCACAAAAUAAUAAUAUCAGGGACACUCAGGUUUCCACAAUUUCCGCGACCAAUUAAGCAUCUACUAGCAAAUAUAGCAAAGUAACGUAGAACAGGAAAAGUAUGCUAGUGAUUCGUGCGUCGGAAACCUUCCUCGUUUCCCCUACAACAAUUGUAUCAAUAAACCCCUCCACAUCGUUACUAUGUGGUUCCUCUAUGAAACUCGGAAAAGGUAACUUGCAAACCUCACAGAAUUCACGAAGGGUCAUCUCCUUAUACUCAUCAUAUAAAUAGAAAUCCACCAUAGGUGGUGACCUCCUAGAAUGGAAAUGAAAAUUUUGCACAAAGGUAUUGCUGAGUAAGAGAUACUGUUCGCGUUGGUCGUGGAGGAAGUCGGUGAGGCCUACAUUCUCAGCCAACUCAUAAAAAUCAUCAUAAAUCCCGCCUGCCCUCAAGAAAUCAUCGCAAGGCCAUUCACACGGCCGAACCUCCGUGAUGCGAGGCAGAUUAUAUUUGGGCCUCUCCGCUUCUUCACUUUGCUUAUCCUUCGAGCUUCGGCUCGAAGAGCCCCUCAAAAAUCUCUUCAUCAUUUUCUGAAAAUUUCUGAAAUUUUUAGUAACUUCAAAUAAAAGUGAACCAAACUCAACAAAAUUAAUAGUAACUACUCCCACAAGUGCCUAGGGCCUAUAUCAUGCAUUAGAACUACUUGGAACCAUAUAAAUUUGACAUGCAAGCUAAAGAACAUGGUCACCUAGGCAGCAAAAAUUUGCAAUGAAUAAAACACUAGAACAAAAACUAAUUGGACCAUUGGAGGAGUCACAUACCAAGGAACAAUCCCCCAAAGCAGUUUUGUGAGAGGUGCUUUGAGCAAGGAGAUCGAAAAUCGCAGCAAAAUGAGCUAGAACUCGUGCUUGAGCUGGUUGGUGAUUUUUUUUGGGAGGAAGAAGGAGUGUGUGGGUGCAGGAAUAAGUGGAGGGGAGCCACCAUGGCCCACGAGGCAGGGGGCGUCCCCAGGGGGGUGGGCGCGCCCUGGACCCUUGUGCCCAGGUGCUUGCUCCCCCUGCUGUGUUCUCAGUGCCAGAUAUUCUCAAAUAUUCCAGAAAAAUCAUAUUUCAAUUUCGGGGCAUUUGGAGAACUUUUAUUUUCGGGGUAUUUUUAUUGCACGGAUAAUUCAAAAAACUGAUAGAAAAUACUAUUUUUACUUUAUUCAAUCUAAAUAACAAAAAGUAGAAGGAGGGUACAGAAGGUUGUGCUUUCUAACUUCAUCCAUCUCAUGCUCAUCAAAAGGAAUCCACUAACAAGGUUGAUCAGGUUGUUAACAAACUCAUUCUGAAUCGCAUGAAACCGGAGAAAUUUCGAAUAACACUAUGUUACCUCAACGGGGAUAUGCACAUCCCCAAUAAUAAGAAUAUCAUAUUUCUUCUUGACAGUAGGUAGAGGAAAUUCAAAACCUCCAAAAAUAAUCGAUGGAAAUUUUCCAAUAGAGUUGAUACUAUGAACUUGAGGUUGUUUCCUCGGAAAGUGUACCGUAUGCUCAUUGCCAUUAACAUGAAAAGUGACAUUGCCUUUGUUGCAAUCAAUAACAGCCCCUGCAGUAUUCAAAAAGGGUCUUCCAAAAAUAAUAGACAUACUAUCGUCCUCGGGAAUAUCAAGAAUAACAAAGUCCAUUAAAAUAGUAAUGUUUGCAACCACAACAGGCACGUCCUCACAAAUACCGACAGGUAUAGUAGUUGAUUUAUCGGCCAUUUGCAAAGAUAUUUCAGUAGGUGUCAACUUAUUCAAAUCAAGUCUACCAUAUAAAGAGAGAGGCAUAACACUAACACUGGCUCCAAGAUCACAUAAAGCAGUUUUCACAUAGUUUCUUUUAAUGGAGCAUGGUAUAGUUGGUACUCCUGGAUCUCCUAGUUUCUUUGGUAUUCCACCCUUGAAACUGUAAUUAGCAAGCAUGGUGGAAAUUUCAGCUUCCUGUAUCUUUCUUUUAUUAGUAACAAUUUCUUUCAUAUACUUAGCAUAAGGAUUCAUUUUGAGCAUAUCAGUUAAACGCAUACGCAAGAAGAUAGGUCUAAUCAUUUCAGCAAAGCGCUCAAAAUCCUCAUCAUCCUUUUUCUUAGAUGGUUUGGGAGGAAAAGGCAUGGGUUUCUGAAUCCAUGGCUCUCUUUCCUUACCAUGCUUCCUAGCAACAAAGUCUCCCUUAUCGUAACGUUGAUUCUUUGAUUGUGGGUUAUCAAGAUCAACAGCAGGUUCAAUUUCUACAUCGUUAUCAUUACUAGGUUGAGCAUCAACAUGAACAUUAUCAUUAACAUUAUCACUAGUUUCAUGUUCAUUGCCAGAUUGUGUUUCAGCAUCAGAGAUAGAAAUAUCAUUGGGAUUCUCAGGUGUGUCAGCAACAGGUUCACUAGAAGCAUGCAGAGUCCUAUCAGUUUUCUUUUUCUUCUUUUUAGAAGGACUAGGUGCAUCAAUAUUAUUUCUCUGAGAGUCCUGCUCAAUUCUCUUAGGAUGGCCUUCAGGAUACAAAGGUUCCUGAGUCAUUUUACCAGUUCUAGUAGCCACUCUAACAGCAAAAUCAUUAUUCUUACUAUUCAAUUCAUUGAGCAAAUCAUUCUGAGCUUUAAGUACUUGUUCUACUUGAGUGGUAACCAUAGAAGCAUGUUUACUAAUGAGUUUAAGUUCACCUUUAACUCUAGACAUGUAAUCACCCAAGUGUUCAAUCAUAUAAGCAUUUUGUUUUAAUUGUCUACUAAAAUAAGCAUUAAAGUCUUCUUGCUUAACCAUAAAGUUAUCAAACUCAUCCAAACAUUGGCUAGCAAACUUAGUAGGAGGGAUUUCAGCUUUAUCAUAUCUAUAGAGAGAAUUUACCUUUACUACCUGUGUCGGGUUAUCAAGACCAUGAGUUUCUUCAAUAGGCGGUAAAUUAAGACCAUGUAUUUCUUCAACAGGAGGUAAAUUCUGAACAUCUUCAGCUUUUAUACCUUUUUCUUUCAUAGAUUUCUUUGCCUCUUGCAUAUCUUCAGGACUGUGAAAUAGAACACCCCUUUUCUUCGGAGUUGGUUUAGGAAUAGGCUCAGGAGUUGGCUCAGGAAGUGUCCAAUUAUUUUCAUUAGUCAACAUAUUAUUCAAUAGAAUUUCAGCUUCAUCUGGUGUUCUUUCCCUGAAAACAGAACCAGCACAACUAUCCAGGUGGUCUCUGGAAGCAUCGGUUAGUCCAUUAUAAAAGAUAUCAAGUAUUUCAUUUUUCUUAAGAAGAUGAUCAGGCAAAGCAUUAAGUAAUUGGAGAAGCCUCCCCGAAGCUUGUGGGAGACUCUCUUCUUCAAUUUGCACAAAAUUAUAUAUUUCCCUUAAAGCAGCUUGUUUCUUAUGAGCAAGGAAAUAUUUAGCAGAGAAGUAAUAAAUCAUAUCCUGGGGACUACGCACACAACCAGGAUCAAGAGAAUUAAACCAUAUCUUAGCAUCACCCUUUAAUGAGAACGGAAAUAUUUUAAGGAUAUAAAAGUAGCGGGUUCUCUCAUCAUUCGUCAACAGGGUGGCUAUAUCAUUUAAUUUAGUAAGAUGUGCCACAACAGUUUCAGAUUCAUAGCCAUAAGAAGGAUCAGAUUCAACCUAAGUAAUUAUAUCAGGAUCAACAGAGAAUUCAUAAUCCUUAUCAGUAACAAAGAUAGGAGAAGUAGCAUAAGCAGGAUCAUAUUUCCUUCUAGCAUUCAGAGUUUUUUUUUCAGCUUAGCUAAUAAUUUCUUAAGAUCACUUCUAUCAUUGCAAGCAAGAAAGUCUCUAGCAGUUUCUUCAUCCAUAACAUAGCCCUCAGGCACAACAGGCAAUUCAUAUUUAGGGGGAGAAUCUUCAUCAUCACUUUCAUCAAUAUUAUCAGUUUCAAUAAUUUCAUUCUCUGUAGCCCUAGCAAGUUGUUCAUCAAGAAAUUCACCAAGUGGCACAGUAGUAUCAAGCAUAGAAGUAGUUUCAUCAUAAGUAUCAUGCAUAGCAGAAGUGGCAUCAUCAAUAACAUGCGACAUAUCAGAAUUAAUAGCAGAAGCAGGUUUAGGUGUCGCAAGCUUACUCAAAACAGAAGGUGAAUCAAGUGCAGAGCUAGAUGGCAGUUCCUUACCUCCCCUCGUAGUUGAGGGAUAAAUUUUAGUUUUCUCGUCUUUCAAGUUCUUCAUAGUGACCAGCAGAUAUAAAUCCCAAGUGACUCAAAGAAUAGAGCUAUGCUCCCCGGCAACGGCGCCAGAAAAUAGUCUUGAUAACCCACAAGUAUAGGGGAUCGCAACAGUUUUCGAGGGUAGAGUAUUCAACCCAAAUUUAUUGAUACGACACAAGGAGAGCCAAAGAAUAUUCUCAAGUAUUAGCAGUUGAGUUGUCAAUUCAACCACACCUGGAUAACUUAGCAUCUGCAGCAAAGUAUUUAAUAGCAAAGUAGUAUGGAAGUAACGGUAACGGUAGCAAAAGCAAUAUUUUUGGGUUUUGUAGUGAUUGUAACAGUAGCAACGGAAAAGUAAAUAAGCGAAGAACAAUAUGUGGAAAGCUCGUAGGCAUUGGAUCGGUGAUGGAGAAUUAUGCCGGAUGAGGUUCAUCAUGUAACAGUCAUAACAUAGGGUGACACAGAACUAGCUCCAAUUCAUCAAUGUAAUGUAGGCAUGUAUUCCGAAUAUAGUCAUACGUGCUUAUGGAAAAGAACUUGCAUGACAUCUUUGUCCUACCCUCCCAUGGCAGCGGGGUCCUAGUGGAAACUAAGGGAUAUUAAGGCCUCCUUUUAAUAGAGUACCGGACCAAAGCAUUAACACAUAGUGAAUACAUGAACUCCUCAAACUACGGUCAUCACCGGGAGUGCUCCCAAUUAUUGUCACUUCGGGGUUGCCGGAUCAUAACACAUAGUAGGUGACUAUAGACUUGCAAGAUAGGAUCAAGAACUCACAUAUAUUCAUGAAAACAUAAUAGGUUCAGAUCUGAAAUCAUGGCACUCGGGCCCUAGUGAAAAGCAUUAAGCAUAGCAAAGUCAUAGCAACAUCAAUCUCAGAACAUAGUGGAUACUAGGGAUCAAACCCUAACAAAACUAACUCGAUUACAUGAUAAAUAUCAUCCAACCCAUCACCGUCUAGCAAGGCUACGAUGGAAUUACUCACGCACGGCGGUGAGCAUCAUGAAAUUGGUGAUGGAGGAUGGUUGAUGAUGACGAUUGCGACGGAUUCCCCUCUCCGGAGCCCCGAACGGACUCCAGAUCAGCCCUCCCGAGAGAGAUUAGGGCUUGGCGGCGGCUCCGUGUCGUAAAACGUGAUGAAUCUUUCUCUCUGAUUUUUUCUCCCCGGACACGAAUAUAUGGAGUUGGAGUUGAGGUCGGUGGAGCUCGAGGGGGCCCACGAGGCAGGGGGCGCGCCCCCCACCCUCGUGGAAAGGGUGUGGGCCCCCUGGCCUUGAUUCUUUCGCUAGUAUUUUUUAUUAUUUCCAAAAAUAAUCUCCGUGAAGUUUCAGGUCAUUCCGAGAACUUUUGUUUCUCCACAAAAAUAACACCAUGGCAAUUCUGUUGAAAACAGCGUCAGUCCGGGUUAGUUCCAUUCAAAUCAUGCAAGUUAGAGUCCAAAACAAGGGCAAAAGUGUUUGGAAAAGUAGAUACGACAGAGACGUAUCAGCGGCGCGCCGGGACAUCUCUGCUGUGGCUGCGGCUGCGGCUUUGCGGCGGGACCUCCCUAGUGCUUCCGCGGCCUUGGUCCUUGCUGUCUGGUUAUAUGUCCACCCGAAACUGCUCCUACCGGUCAUGGCGGAACGACUUGACAGGAAAGACUAGAUUUGUGGGUGAUGAGGAGAGGAACUAUGAAGUAAUUUUCGAGUGGGUAGUUUUUAUAGCCCGGUGCUAAGUGUGAACACAUAUUAGUUUGAUAGGUGUGAACAGAUUUGCAAUUACUUAUUGCGUUGUAAUCUGCAAUGUGACGACAAACAAGGUCAAAAUUUAUUAAUGGCAGAAGGUUGACCACGUGGUUGCUCGCCAUUGAGGCGGCCGCAUCGUGCUUUGCUUGCGUCCGUCUGCGUGUUUUGCUCGCCAUUGAGGCGGUCGCGGCGCGCUCCGCUCUAGCGUCCCUGCACGUGCUCUGCUCGCCGUUGAGGCAAAUUUACAAUGGCAACGGUUAAUAAUUCUUAAUAAUUGUCUUACAUAUUCAGGAUAAUUUAAAAUGCCACAUGCGGUAAGGCCCAGAACACUCACGACCUACAUAUGCAUACAAUUAUAAUAAAAUAUAGGCUAAAAGGCUGAGCUGGCGGCCUUCUGAUGACGGUUUUCUCGGACUCCAUGAUCAACAUAGCACCCUUGCGGCCGUUCACUCCUAGUGUCCCGACCCGCCUCCGCCUACGGAGCUGCUGGUGCCGGGAGGCUCUUGGGGCUGCUGGGCCUCUUCCAGAAGAGCUUGACAGCAUGCAAUCGCGUGCAUGAUAUCUCCAUGGAACCGCUCCAUUUCCAUGUCUCUGGCCUGGUAGCAAAUUCCGUCUAUCACCUGCAUCCUCAAGAUAUCACAUUGGCGAUGUUCUACUUCGUCGGGGACGUCAACUCCGCCAAGGAUGCGCUUGAGCCUGGCCACAACAUCAUCGGGAUCGAGGUUGACACGGCCGCCGCGGGCAAUGAUGAAGCCGCAGGCUUCCUGUCUCUUCACUAAAUCAUAGAGGUCCUUUGCCCAUUCCUUGAGGGGCAUCAAGCUCUCUAUGAGCACUGGUGACGGCGGCUCUUCGGGUGGGCCGUCUAUCAUGCCGCCGAGCAGCUCUGGAUCUUUUGCACGGUGGAUGGUAAACUGCUCAUCACACCUUGAUGGUAGCUGGAACUACGUCGGUAUUUCCCUGGAGAGGGAGGGAUGAUGCAGCACAGCGACGGUAGGUAUUUCCCUAAGUUAUGAAACCAAGGUAUUGAACUAGUAGGUGAACCAAGCAACAAAACGUAAGCAGCACCUGCACACACAAACAACAACACCUCGCAACCCGACGUGUUAAAGGGGUUGUCAAUCCCUUCCGGGGUACGGCGCCUCAAGAUAGGCAAACAGACAUGAGGUAAAUUGUAGUAGAUUGAUAGAUCGAGCGCCAAAUAAAAUAAAUAAAGAUAAAACACAGCAAGGUAUUUUUGUAUUUUUUUGGUUUAAUAGAUCUGAAUAAAAAUGCAAAGGAAAAGUAGAUCGCAAGGCAAAUAUAUGAGAAAGAAGACCUGGGGGCCGUAGGUUUCGCUAGUGGCUUCUCUCGAGAAAAAUAGCAAAUGGUGGGUAAACAAAUUACUGUUGGGCAAUUGAUAGAACUUCAAAUAAUCAUGACGAUAUCCACGCAAUGAUCAUUACAUAGGCAUCACGUCCAAGAUUAGUAGACCGACUCCUGCCUGCAUCUACUACUAUUACUCCACACAUCGACCGCUAUCCAGCAUGCAUCUACUGUAUUAAGUUCAUGGAAAAACGGAGUAAUGCAAUAAGAACGAUGACAUGAUGUAGACAAUAUCCGUUUAUCUAUAUGGCCGUAGAUAUAGAUCUCGUCCUUUUAUCCUUAGUAGAAACGAUACAUACGUGUCGGUUCCCUUUCUGUCACUGGGAUCAAGCACCGUAAGAUCGAAACCACUACCGGGCGCCUCUUCCCAUUGCAAGAUAAAUAGAUCAAGUUGGCCAAACAAAACCCAAAUAUCGGAGAAGAAAUACGAGGCUAUAAGAGAUCAUGCAUAUAAGAUAUCAAAAAAACUCAAAUAACUUCAUGGAUAUAAAAAGAUAUAACUGACCAUAAACUUGAAGUUCAUCAGAUCCCAACAAACACACCGCAAAAAGAGUUACAUCAUAUGGAUCUCCAAGAGACCAUUGUAUUGAGAAUUCAGCGAGAGAGAGAAAGCCAUCUAGCUACUAACUACGGACCCGAAGGUCUACAAAGAACUACUCACGCAUCAUCGGAGAGGCACCAAUGGAAGUGGUGAACCCCUCCGUGAUGGUGCGUAGCUUGAAUCUGGUGGUUCUCGACUCUGCGGCGGCUGGAUGAAUAUUUCGUCGAUGCUUCUAGGGUUCUGGUAUUUUUGGGGUAUUUAUAGAGCAAAGAGGCGGUCCGGGGGGGCACCCGAGGUGGGCACAACCCACCAGGGCGCGCCUAGGCCUCCUGCCGCUCCCUGGUGGGUUGUACCCCCCCUCGGGGCACCCCCAGGUGCAACCAGGGCCCAUUGCCUUCCUUCUGGCCCAUAAAAAAUCAUCGUGGAGUUUCAUGGCAUUUAGACUCCGUUUGAUAUUGAUUUCCUAAGAUGUAAAAAACAUGGAAAAAACAACAACUAGCACUUGGCACUAUGUCAAUAGGUUAGUACCAAAACAUGAUAUAAAAUGAUUAUAAAACAUCCAAGAUUGAUAAUAAAACAGCAUGGAACAAUAAAAAAUUAUAGAUACGUUGGAGACGUAUCAGCAUCCCCAAGCCUAACUCAUACUCGUCCUCGAGUAGGUAAGUGAUAAAAACAGAAUUUUUUAUGUGGAGUGCUGUUCAUCUAGUAAUAGUCUAGUUUUGACAUGAUAAUUUAGAUACUCAAGCAUAUCAACAAGCAAUAGUCUAGUUUUGACAUAAUAAUUUACAUACUCAAGCAUAUCAACAAGCAACCAUGGCUUUCAAAAUAUCAACGCUAAAAUAAGUUAUCCCUAGCCCAUCAUGCUCAAACAUUGAUCCAUUCAUGAAACACACUCGGAUAUUAACUACACCCAAUACUUGAGCACAAUCAUAUUGCCUCCUAGUUGGUGCUUUUGUAAGAGAAGAUGGAGACUCAAAUUCAAACAUAAAAAUUGCAUAAAGUAAAAGAAAGGCCCUUCGCAGAGGGAAGUAGGGAUUUGUAGAGGUGCUAGAGUUCAAAGCGAAAAAUUAGACAUAAAAACAUUUUGGGAGGUGUAUCCAUACCACCAACGAAAACGACUCAGAGCUACGAACACUUUCCAUGCUAGAUAUGCCAUAGGCGGUUCCCAAACGGAAAAUAAAGUUUAUUACUUUUUCCACUAUACUUUCACUUUCCAUGGCUAGCCGUAUCCACGGGUGCCCUCCAUACCAACACUUUCCAAGGAAUUUAUUAUUUGACAACAUAAAGUAAAUAUUUUUUGCAUUUUGGGACUGGGCAUCCCUAAAACCUUUGCCUUACUCUCGUGCAAUGACAAGUGAAUAAACACUCAUCUUGAGAAUAACACAUCUAGCAUGGAAAAUAUUAGCCACCAGUUACCGUUCCGCGAGCGAAACAAACACACAAAAGAGAAGUUUAUUUUGAAAAUUAGAGAUGGCACAUGCAAAUUUUGCUUAGAGCGGCAAAAGAAUACCGCAUAUAGGUAGAUAUAGUGGACUCAUGUGGAAAAACUGGUUUAAAGGAUUUUGGAUGCACAAGUAGAGAUCAUACUUAGUACAAAAUGAAGGCUAGCAAAAAGAUUGAGAAGCGACCAACCAAGAAACGAAUAAUCUCAUAAGCAAGCAUUAAGCAUAAUUAACACCGAAUAAUGCACCACAAGUAGGAUAUAAUUUUCAUUGCAUGAUUAUUGACUUUCGUGCAUGCAUAGGGAAUCACAACCCUUAACACCAAUAUUCUUACUAGAGCAUAAUUACUCAUCAACAUAACUCACAUAUCACAUCAUCAUAUCUCAAAACUAUUACUAAGAAUCAAGUUUAUUUUGUCCAAUGGUCUUCAUGACAUUUUCUUUUCUUUAUCCUUCUUGGAUAUCUAUCACUUUGGGACUAACUUUCGUGUGUUGCUUUUCGUAAGCUCAGACAAAUAUAAGUGAAGAUCAUGAGCAUAACAAAUUUUCUUUCUCUCAAAAUAAUUUAAGUGAAGCAAGAGAGAAUUUCUUCGAAAUUUUACUAACUCUCAAAUAAAUCUAAGUGAAGAAAUAGAGCAUUUCUUAAAAAAUAACAAAGCACACCGUGCUCAAAAGAGAUAUAAGUAAAGCACUAGAGCAAGUCCUAGCUCAUAAAAGAUUUAAGUGAAGCAUAGAGAGCAAUUCUAACAAGUCAUGAUAUAAUUUUGGCUCUCUCAAAUAGGUGUGUCCAGCAAGGAUUGAUGACUUAAAACACAAAAUAAAACAAGAAAAGACACAUAUCAUACAAGACGCUCCAAGCAAAACACAUAUCAUGUGAUGAAUAAAAAUAUAGCCUCGAGUAAAAUACCGAUAGUUGUUGGAAGAAAGCGGGGAUGCCACUAGGGGGCAUCCCCAAGCUUAGUUGGUUGCUAAUUCUUGGAUAGUAGCUUGGGAUGCCGUGGCAUCCCCAAGCUUAGGCUCUUACAUCCUUCCUUCAUCCAUCGUAAGAUAGCCCAAAACUUGAAAACUUCAAUCACACAAAACUCAACAAAACCUUUGUGAGAUCCGUUAGUAUAAGAAAGCAAACUACUACUAUAAGUGUUGUAUCAAACCAAUUCAUAUUUUGUUUUUGUAUUAUUUCUACUGUAUUCCAACUUUUCUAUGGCAAAAACUCAUCAAAUAAAACCAUAGAGCCAUCAAAAUAAGCACACAACACAAAGAAAACAGAAUAUGUCAAAACAGAACAAUCUGUAGCAAUCUGACUUUAGCGAAUACUUCUGUAACUCCAAACAUUCUACCAAAUUAGUACGACCAGAGUAAUUUAUAUAUUAAUCUUCUGCAAAAAGAAUCAAAGCAAAAUCUCUUUUCUGUGAUUUAUGAAAAUUAUUUUCGUGAGAGCAAAGUUUCUGUCUUUUUCAGCAAAAUCAAACAACUAUCACCCAAGAAGAUCCUAAAGGCAUUACUUGGCACAAACACUAAUUAAAACAUAAAAAACACAAUCAUAACAGUAGCAUAAUUGUGUAAACACUCAAGAACAUAAAGAAAAAAGCAAAAAUAAAUGUUAUUCAUUGGGUUGCCUCCCAACAAGCGCUAUAGUUUUACGCCCUUAGCUAGGCAUAAGAUUUUAUUGAUGCUCAUAAGAAAGAUAAUAAUUUGAACACAAAGAGAGCAUCAUAAAUCACGUGACAAACACAUUUAAGUCUAACAUACUUCCUAUGCAUAGGCAUUUUAUAGGAAAACAAAUUUUGAAGGCAAGCAAAAUCUAGCAUAUGCAAGGAAGAAUCAAGAAACAAUAGCAAUCUCAACAUGAAGAGAGGUAAUUUAGUAACAUGGAAAUUCCUACAACCAUAUUUUCCUCUCUCAUAAUAAUUACAUGUAGGAUCAUAAUCAAAUUUAACAAUAUAGAUAUCACAUAAAAUAUUCUCAACAUGAUCCGCAUGCAUGCAAAGUUGACACUCUUCCAAAAUAGUGGGAUUACCAUCAAAUAAAGUCAUGACCUCUCCAAGCCCACUUUUAUCAAAAAAUUCAUAAGAUUGAUCAUACUCCAAAGUAGUGGGAUAAUUAUUUCGUAAAGUUGACACUCUUCCAAACCCACUUUCAAUACUAUUGCAAACAUAUUCAUCAUGAGGCUUAAAUAAAUUUUCAAGAUCAUAAGAAGCAUCAUCACCCCAAUCAUGAUCAUUGCAAUAAGUAGCGGACAUAGCAAAACAAGCACCCCCAAGCUUGGGGUUUUGCAUAUUAUUAGCACAAUUGACAUUAAUAGAAUUUAUAGUAAAAUCAUUGCAAUCAUGAUUUUCAUUCAAGGAGCUAUCAUGAAUCACUUCAUAAAUUUCUUCAUCACAAUUUUCAGAUUCACGAAUCUCAAGCAAAACUUCAUAAAGAUAAUCUAGUGCACUCAACUCACUAGCAAUUGGUUGAUCAAGAUUGGAUCUUUUAAAAAGAUUAGCAAGUGGAUGAGGUUCCAUAUCAAGAGAUUUUUAGCAAGCGAAGAUGCAAGCAAAUAGAAGGCACAUGGUAACACAAAUAGAGAUAGCAAACAAGAGAUCUAACGGGAAAAAGGCGAACGAAAAAGAGGGCGAAUAAAACGGCAGAUUUUUGUGAAGUGGGGGCGAGGAAAAUGAGAGGCAAAUGGCAAAUAAUGUAAAUUGCAAGGAGAUGAGAUUUGUGAUUAGGAACCUGGUUAUGUUGAAGAUCCUCCCCAGCAACGGCCCUAGAAAUUCUCCUUGAUGGUAGCUGGAACUACGUCGGUAUUUCCCUGGAGAGGGAGGGAUGAUGUAGCACAGCGAUGGUAGGUAUUUCCCUCAGUUAUGAAACCAAGGUAUCAAACCAGUAGGAGAACCAAGGAACACAACGUAAGCAGCACCUGCACACAAACAACAACACCUCACAACCCGACGUGUUAAAGGGGUUGUCAAUCCCUUCCGGGGUACGGCGCCUCAAGAUAGGCAAACGGGCGUGAGGUAAAUUGUAGUAGAUUGACAGAUCGAAUGCCAAAUAAAAUAAAUAAAGAUAAAACGCAGCAAGGUAUUUUUGUAUUUUUUGGUUUAAUAGAUCUGAAUAAAAAUGCAAAGGAAAAGUAGAUCGCAAGGCAAAUAUAUGAGAAAGAAGACCCGAGUGCCGUAGGUUUCGCUAGUGGCUUCUCUCGAGAAAAAUAGCAAACGGUGGGUAAACAAAUUACUGUUGGGCAAUUGAUAGAACUUCAAAUAAUCAUGACGAUACUCAGCCAAUGAUCAAUACAUAGGCAUCACGUUCAAGAUUAGUAGACCGACUCCUGCCUGCAUCUACUACUAUUACUCCACACAUCGACCGUUGUCCAGCAUGCAUCUAGUGUAUUAAGUUCAUGGAAAAAUGGAGUAAUGCAAUAAGAACGAUGACAUGAUGUAGAUGAUAUGCCUCCGUCAUAUCUAUAUUUUUUUAUUAUUCCAUGCCAAUAUUAUACAACUUUCAUAUACUUUUGGCAACUUUUUAUACUAUUUUUGGGACUAACAUAUUGAUCCAGUGCCCAGUGCCAGUUCCUGUUUGUUGCAUGUUUUUUGUUUCGCAGAAAAUCCAUAUCAAACGGAGUCCAAACGGGAUAAAAACUGACGGAGAUUUGUUUUGGAAUAUUUGUGAUUUUUGGGAAGAAGAAUCAACGUGAUACGAUGCCCGAGGGGGCCACGAGGCAGGGGGCACGCCCUGGACCCUCGUGGCCACCCCUUAAGGCGGUUGGAGCCCUUAUUUCGCUGCAAGAAAGCUAAUUUCCGGAUAGAGAUCGUGUCCAAAAUUCAUCCCAAUCGGAGUUACGGAUCUCCGGUUAUAAAAGAAACGGUGAAAGGCCAGACUAGAGCGCAGAAACAGAGAGAGACAGAGAGACAGAUCCAAUCUCGGAGGGGCUCUCGCCCCUCCCAUGCCAUGGAGGCCAAGGACCAGAGGGGAAACCCUUCUCCCAUCUAGGGAGAAGGUCAAGGAAGAAGAAGAAGGAGGGGGCUCUCUCCCCCUCGCUUCCGGUGGCGCCGGAACGCCGCCGGGGGCCACCAUCAUCACCGCGAUCUUCACCAACACCUCCGCCAUCUUCACCAACAUCUCCAUCACCUUUCCACCUCUAUCUACAGCGGUCCACUCUCCCACAACCCGCUGUACCCUCUACUUGAACAUGGUGCUUUAUGCUUCAUAUUAUUAUCCAAUGAUGUGUUGCCAUCCUAUGAUGUCUGAGUAGAUUUUCGUUGUCCUAUCGGUGGUUGAUGAAUUGCUAUGAUUGAUUUAAUUUGCUUGUGGUUUUGUUGCUGUCCUUUGGUGCCCAUCAUAUGAGCGCGCGCGUCGAUCACACCAUAGGGUUAGGACUAUGUAUUGGAGGGCAAGAGUGACAGAAGCUUCAACCUAGCAUAGAAAUUGAUGCAUACGGGAUUGAAGGGGGACCAAUAUAACAUAAUGCUAUGGUUGGGUUUUACCUUAAUGAACGUUAGCGGACGCUUGCUAAUAGUUCCAAUCAUAAGUGCAUAGAAUUCCAAGUCAGGGAUGACAUGCUAGCAGUGGCCUCUCCCACAUAAAACUUGCUAUCGGUCUAGUAAAGUAGUCAAUUGCUUAGGGAAAAUUUCGCAACUCCUACCACCACUUUUCCACACUCGCUAUAUUUACUUUAUUGUGUCUUUAUAUAAACAGCCCCUAGUUUUUAUUUACGUGCUCUUUAUUAUCUUGCAAACCUAACCAACAACACCUACAAAAUACUUCUAGUUUCAUACUUGUUUUAGGUAAAGUGAACGUCAAGCGUGCGUAGAGUUGUAUCGGUGGUCGAUAGAACUUGAGGGAAUAUUUGUUCUACCUUUAGCUCCUCGUUGGGUUCGACACUGUUACUUAUCGAAAGAGGCUACAAUUGAUCCCCUAUACUUGUGGGUUAUCAGUAGACAAGACCCAUUUAUCUAUGGCUGUAGAUAUAGAUCUCGUCUUUUUAUCCUUAGUAGCAACGAUACAUACGUGUCGGUUCCCUUUCUGUCACUGGGAUCAAGCACCGUAAGAUCGAACCCACUACCGGACACCUCUUCCCAUUGCAAGAUAAAUAGAUCAAGUUGGCCAAACAAAACCCAAAUAUCGGAGAAGAAAUACGAGGCCAUAAGAGAUCAUGCAUAUAAGAGAUAAAAGAAACUCAAAUAACUUUCAUGGAUAUAAAAAGAUAUAACUGAUCAUAAACUCGAAGUUCAUCAGAUCCCAACAAACACACCGCAAAAAGAGUUACAUCAUAUGGAUCUCCAAGAGACCAUUGUAUUGAGAAUUCAGCGAGAGACAGAAAGCCAUCUAGCUACUAACUACGGACCCGAAGGUCUACAAAGAACUACUCACGCAUCAUCGGAGAGGAACCAAUGGAAGUGGUGAACCCCUCCGUGAUGGUGUCUAGAUUGGAUCUGGUGGUUCUGGACUCUGCGGCAGCUGGAUGAAUAUUUCGUCGAUGCUUCUAGGGUUCUGAUAUUUUGGGGGUAUUUAUAGAGCAAAGAGGCGGUCCGGGGGGCACCUGAGGUGGGCACAACCCACCAGGGUGCGCCUGGGCCUCCAGGCGCACCCUGGUGGGUUGUUCCCCCCUCGGGGCACCCCCCAGGUGCAACCAGGGCCCAUUGCCUUCCUUCUGGCCCAUAAAAAAUCAUCAUGGAGUUUCGUGGCAUUUGGACUCCGUUUGAUAUUGAUUUCCUGUGAUCUAAAAAACAUGGAAAAAACAGCAACUGGCACUUGGCACUAUGUCAAUAGGUUAGUACCAAAAAAGAUAUAAAAUGACUAUAAAAUGAUUAUAAAACAUCCAAGAUUGAUAAUAAAACAGCAUGGAACAAUAAAAAAUUAUAGGUAUGUUGGAGACGUAUCACACCUCUUCUGCAAUAUGUCGAUUGUGCGCCCAAGGACUGUCACGCCGAUAUCGCUGCCGAUGUGCCAUGGUGUCUGCACCGGCCGAUGAAUCUCUUGCUCCCCGACCUGCUCCGGCUCGUUCUCCUCACCGAAGAUGUAAUGCAGGUAGGCGUCAACGUUGAAGCUUUGGUCGUUGCCUGGCAUGCUUGGAAUAACUAAUGGUAGAUGGGUGAGGACUAGAUCCGCGUAGAGUGUCGCGACGGUGCGUUGCCGUCUGGGCUAUAUGCAGCAAGCCAUUAGCUGGUGGCGAGAAAUCGAUGAGGGAAGAGGUGUGGAUUUUACAAUUCACCCAUGUGGAGCGCGGGAAGCAUUCGCUGGAGUGCGGGAAGUGUUGGAAAUAUGCCCUAGAGGCAAUAAUAAAAUGGUUAUUAUUGUAUUUCCUUGUUCAUGAUAAUUGUCUAUUGUUCAUGCUAUAAUUGUAUUAACUGGAAACCGUAAUGCAUGUGUGAAUACAUAGACCACAACAUGUCCCUAGUAAGCCUCUAGUUGACUAGCUCGUUGAUCAAUAGAUGGUUAUGGUUUCCUGACCAUGGACAUUGGAUGUCAUUGAUAACGGGAUCACAUCAUUAGGAGAAUGAUGUGAUGGACAAGACCCAAUCCUAAGCAUAGCACAAGAUCGUGUAGUUCGUUUGCUAGAUCUUUUCUAAUGUCAAGUAUCAUUUCCUUAGACCAUGAGAUUGUGCAACUCCCAGAUACCGUAGGAAUGCUUUGGGUGUAUCAAAUGUCACAACGUAACUGGGUGGAUAUAAAGGUGCACUACAGGUAUCUCCGAAAGUGUCUGUUAGGUUGGCACGAAUCGAGACUGGGAUUUGUCACUCCGUAUGACGAAGAGGUAUCUCUGGGCCCACUCAGUAAUGCAUCAUCAUAAUGAGCUCAAUGUGACUAAGUAGUUAGUCACGGGAUCAUGCAUUACGGAAUGAGUAAAGUGACUUGCUGGUAACGAGAUUGAACGAGGUAUUGGGAUACCGACGAUCGAAUCUCGGGCAAGUAACAUACCGAUUGACAAAGGGAAUUGUAUACGGGAUUGAUUGAAUCCCUGACAUCGUGGUUCAUCCGAUGAGAUCAUCGUGGAACAUGUGGGAGCCAAUAUGGGUAUCCAGAUCCCGCUAUUGGUUAUUGGCCGGAGAGAUGUCUCGGUCAUGUCUGCAUGGUUCCCGAACCCGUAGGGUCUACACACUUAAGGUUCGGUGACGCUAGAGUUGUUAUGGGAAAUAGUAUGUGGUUACCGAAGGUUGUUCGGAGUCCCGGAUAGGAUCCCGGACGUCACGAGGAGUUCCAGAAUGGUCCGGAGGUAAAGAUUUAUAUAUGGGAAGUCAUCAUACGGUCACCGGAAGUGUUCGAGGGGUAUGCCGGUAUUGUACCGGGGCCACCGAAGGGGUUCCGGGGGUCCACCGGGAGGGUCCACCUGCCCCAGAGGGCCUUAUGGGCUAUAGGUGGAAGGGAACCAGCCCCUAAGUGGGCUGGGCACCAACCUACCCCUAGGGCCCAUGCGCCUAGGGUUGGGGGAAACCCUGGAGGGGGCGCCCCCCUUGACUUGGGGGGCAAGCCACCCUCCCUGGCCGCCGCCCCUCCCACCAGAUGGGAUCUAAGGGGCCGCCCCCCCUCUCCCUUGUCCCUAUAUAUAGUGGAGAGGUGGGAGGGCAGCCGAACCUCUUCCCUGGCGCAGCCCUCCCUCCUCAUACACCUCCUCCUCCUCCUCCGUAGUGCUUAGCGAAGCUCUGCCGGAGAACCACGAGCUCCAUUGCCACCACGCCGUCGUGCUGCUGGAGUUCUCCCUCAACUUCUCCUCUCCCCUUGCUGGAUCAAGAAGGAAGAGGCGUCCCCGGGCUGUACGUGUGUUGAACGCGGAGGCGCCGUCCGUUCGGCGCUAGAUCGGAUCUUCCGCGAUUUGAAUCGCCGCGAGUACGACUCCAUCAACCGCGUUCUUGAAACGCUUCCACUUAGCGAUCUUCAAGGGUAUGAAGAUGCACUCCCUCUCUCUCGUUGCUAGCAUCUCCUAGAUUGAUCUUGGUGACACGUAGGAAAAUUUUGAAUUAUUGCUAUGUUCCCCAACAGUGGCAUCAUGAGCUAGGUCUAAGCGUAGAUUCUAUGCACGAGUAGAACACAAAGUAGUUGUGGGCGAUGAUUUGUUCAAUUUGCUUACCGUUAAUAGUCUUAUCUUGAUUCGGCGGCAUUGUGGGAUGAAGCGGCCCGAACCGACCUUACACGUACUCUUACGUGAGACAGGUUCCACCGAUUGACAUGCACUUGAUGCAUAAGGUGGCUAGCGGGUGUCUGUCUCUCCCACUUUAGUCGGAUCGGAUUCGAUGAAGAGGGUUGUCACGCCCUCGAUUCAAUCAUACACUAAUCAUACACGCAAAUGUGUACGAUCAAGAUCAAGGACUCACGGGAAGAUAUCACAACACAACUCUAGACACAAAUUAAAAUAAUACAAGCUUUAUAUUACAAGCCAGGGGCCUCGAGGGCUCGAAUACAUGAGCUCGAUUACACAAGAGUCAGCGGAAGCAACAAUAUCUGAGUACAGACAUAAGUUGAACAGGGAUGCCUUAAGAAGGCUAGCACAAAAAGCAACACGAUCGAAGAGGCAAGGCCUCCUGCCUGGGAGCCUCCUAACUAGUCCUGGUCGUCAACGGUCUCCACGUAGUAGCAGGCAUCGGCGGUGGCAUCUGGCUCCUGGGCUCCGACAUCUGAUUGCAUCAACCGGAAAGAAGAAGAAAUGGGCAAAGGGGAAGCAAAGCAACCGUGAGUACUCAUCCAAAGUACUCGCAAGCAAGGAUCUACACUACAUAUGCAACAUUAUCAAAGGAAAGUUGUAUAUGUGGACUGGACUGCAGCAAUGCCAGAAUAGAGAGAAAGCCUAGUCCUAUCAAAGACUAGCAUCUUCUGGAAACCACCAUCUUGCAGCAACAGGAGGGAGUAGAGUAGCAUAAAGUAAAGUAGUAGAAGUGUUAUCAACCUCGGCCAGAGAUCCUUUCUCGACUCCCUGCGAGAAAGCAAUCCCAGAGCCAUACUAUCCAGUUCCAAUUAUAACCCAAUUCUCAUAUCCAAGUCUCAUCACAAGUAUCCAGUUCUAGUUGUAUCGAUCGGGAUACAACUCCAAGUGUCCGUUACCGUAGGACAGGCUAUCGAUAGAUGUUUUCUUCCCUGCAGGGGUGCACCAACUUACCCACCACGCUUGAUUAACUCCGGCCGGACACACUUUCCUGGGUCAUGCCCGGCCUCGGCCAAACAAUACGCCGCAACCUGACCUAGGCUUAAUAGAGAGGUCAAGCACGCCAGACUAAACCUAUGCCCCCAGGGGUCAUGGGCCAUCGCCUCGGGAACUCCUGCACGUUGCGUGGGCGGCCGGUGAGCAGACCUAGCUACCUCCUUAAAAAGGUAGGAGCUUACCAGUCCAACCCGGCGCGCGCCGCUCAGUCGCUUGACGUCUAUUAAGCUUCGGCUGAUGUAUACGACGCAGAAUGCCCAUACUAUGCCCACGUGAUGGUUAGUGCUAUCAGGCCAGAGGCCCCUUGGAUCAAAUAUCCAAAUCGUAGUGGAUUAGGAACGCGCGGUAACAAGCAGAGACUCACGAAAGAUGUGACCCCGUCGCCCCGUCUCGAGGACUUGCGGCAAGGGCUAGGAAUGCCCGGCCACACCUCGUAAUUAUCUCGCGGGCACCUUCCAGGUCAACCCGUCUCCACAUCACUCGCAAUUAAGCUCGCGCGGGUACCCCUCAGGGCCGACCCGUCUCUAGUAACAUGGUUCAGUGUAAAGUCAUAGUAACCAUAGUAACUGUGUGUCCAAACAUCAAGGGGAAAACCCGAGGAAUCACCCCCGGUGAAUUCCACUCGAUGUAAUCAUCAAGGUGAACGUAAGAGGAAUCACCCCCGAGGUUCACACUUGAGGGGUUGCACGACAGAGUCGUAUUGGAAGUGGUUAAGGCGGAAUCACCUUCGAUGACCACGACCGAAUAGCUACACUACAGGGUUAACAUCAGAAGUGCUGUAGAGGUCUCACCCUCGGCACUCGAUAGUAACCCAGCAGUGUCGAGCAACUAAGGAGAAAGUGAUGUGCGAUGCCGGGGCCUGGUCUUCGAUCCCGUUGAUCGGGUCUUCGAUGAUGAAGCAGGGGCAACAAGGUCAAGGUGGGGGUCACUGAUGGAUCACUAACCAACCUAUACUAAGCAGUUUAGGAUAAGCAGGUAAGAUACAAUGAGCAGGUUACAUAAGCAGGCUAUGCAUCAGAAUAGGAGCAAACAAUAACAGUAGCAAAAUCUAAUGCAAGCAUGAGAGAAUGGAAUGGGCGAUAUCGGGAUGAUCAAAGGGGGGGCUUGCCUGGUUGCUCUGGCAAGGAGGGGUCGUCGUCGACGUAGUCGAUCACAGGGGCGGCAUCCGUCUCGGGGUCUACCGGAGAGAAGAGGGGGAAGAAACAGUAAAUAUAAAGCAGACAAAGCAUCACAAAGCAUAACAUGGCAAUAUGCGGUGACAGGUGUGACCUAACGUAAGGCUACAUGAUAUAGGUGAAGGGGGAAUUCAACCGUGAAUGUUUUCCCGGUUCCGGACCUGUGUCACACAGAUGACCGGAGGGGGAAUGUUCCAUGUUCAGAUAGUUAGAGGCAUCUGACUGAUGAAUGGACCGCGUAUUCGGAUUCGUUGGAUUUUUCUGAGCAACUUUCAUAUAGAAAACAUUUUCAUCCGAGUUACGGUUUAUUUUCUAUGAAUUUUCAAAGAUUAAACCAUUUUCUGGAUUUAUUUAAAUUAACAGAAAAGAUAAAAUGACGUCAGCAUGACGUGCUGAUGACGUCAGGAGUCAACAGACUCGCUGACCAUGUCAAACUGACCAGUGGGUCCUACAUGUCAUAGACAGAGGGCUAACAGUGGGUUAUUUUAAUUAAACGUGGUUAAUUAGCAGCUGGGUCCCACAUGUCAGUGACUAAUUAGCUAAACUAAUUACUUUUAAUUAUAAAAUCGUUUUAAUUAGUUAUUUAAGUGGUGGGGCCCGCACGUCAGUGGCUGGGGCCUGCCCAGUCAGCACGUUGACUGGGUUGACCCAGUCAACGGGGCCCCCAGGGCCUACGAGGCAGUGACCAGGGGAGUGGCCCCGGUCGACCACGUCGGCGCUGGCUACCGGAGUUGCUCCGGCGAGCCUCCCGCGGCGGCGCACGUCGGGAGAGGGGUCGGGUUCCGUGCAUAGGGGGUUUCCGGGGUCGUAGCUAGAUGCGUUCGACGCGGCUAGACGUCGCACGCAAGAUGGAGGCGAUGGCUUGGGCCGGGAACGACCGGAACGACACCGGCGACGAGCAGAAGCGGCGCCGGAGUUCGGGCUCGAGCGGGUGCGGCGUUAGAGCGCGCGAGCGGCCAAACUAACCAGCUAGGCGGGUGCUGCACGAUGCGGUCAAGCUAACGGGCAUACGCCCAUGACCAAUUGAUCACCGGAGACCCGCCGGCGACGAGCUCCGCGGCGCUGCGUUUGGGCGCGCGUGGGGAAAGCAGCUAGGGGGCGUGCCAAAGUCAACAAGGAGAGGGAGAAGGAUGAGGGGCUCACCGAGUGGCACACGGAGGCCGGUGAUAGGUUUAGUAGCAGCAGGGGUCGCCGGAGAGGAGGAAGAUGGCGGCGCCCGUGGCGGACGGAGGUUGAAGACGGGGAGGCAGUGGGUUCCCUGGUGGCUUCCGACCCGAGCCCGUGGUCGGGGAGGGCGUAGCAGAGGCCGGCGAGGCAGGUGGACACGCGGGAGGCGCCCGGGGGACGGCAGUGGCCGCGAUGGUGGCGCGGCGACGGCGACGAAAGCGUCGGCCCCUUUCUCCAGAUCGGCAGAGUGGGAGAGAGGAAGAGGGGAUAUGGAGAGGGCAAGUGGGUGAGGGGAGACGAGGGGAGCCCGAGGCGUCGCCCUUAUCCUCUCCCGGCGAGGCCGGCGAGGUGGUCGGGGUCGACCUCGCCCCUGUAGCGACACGAAGCAGAGGAACAGGAAGGGGAGGGAGCGACCGGUGAGGGGGGGAGUGGGCCGGCCUGCUGGGCCAGCUGGCUCGGGUGGGCCGAUGUCGAGACCCCGAUUCCAAGUCACACCGAUCUAGCCUGUAACACCUCAUAUCACUUUGCGGCCUCACGCACGGUAUUCCCACGGGUGUCGCCUUACCAUGGCCCGGGACCGUUUGCGCCUUUUGGCUCACGUAUAUGACAGUGUCGCUAGCAUCCAUAUGACAGAGAACCCGGGCCGACAUGGCUAGUCGUGAACCCAAAGCGGCACUAACGUAUGGGGACAGGCAUACAUGAAUCAACAUCGAACGUGUCGGUCAGCAGCGUGCGAAUCCGGGCUGUAGCACUGGGCUAACAGGACUCCGGGAACCCGGGCUGUAGCAGGCUAGGCAGGACUCCGGAUGUCACCGCGUGACAUUUCCCCGAAGGGACAGACACAGGAACGAUAUGAAUCACAUGCCGGCCAGUCAGGUGUCCAGAGCAGUAGUGCUGGGCUAGCAGGACUCCGGUGAACCGGGCUGUAGCGGACUACUAUGGCUCAAGGAGGCACUAGACUACAUUUCCCCAUAAGAGAGGCUACUAAGGAUAGACAACUAGAUUGUCGGAUCCCACACAUACCAAGCAUUUCAAUCAUACACACAAUAUGCUCGAUAUGUGCAAAUACAACAUGGCAUCACAACAAGACUCUACGACUCAGAGUAUUUAUUCAUUAGGCUCCGAAGAGCCAGAUAUUACAAACAUGGGUCUCAUGACCCAACAAUCAGAGCAUACAAGUCAAAACACAUGCGGAAGCUCAACAUGUCUGAGUACAGACAUCUACAAAUGAAAAAGGCUGAGAAGCCUGACUAUUUACUAGAUCCUGCCAAGGGCACAAGAUCGUAGCUGAGGUAUCAAGCUAAACGUCGAAGUCCACACGGAACUACUAGCGAGACUGACGUCUCUCUGCAAAACAUAAAAUAAGCAAAUGUGAGUACAAAUGUACCCAGCAAGACUUACAUCAGAACUAGCUACAUAUGCAUCGGUAUCAACAAAAGGGGUGGUGGAGUUUAACUGCAGCAAGCCAGCUUUGACUCAGUGGCUAACCUAACUACGACAGCAAGUAACUCUUUUGAGGUGGCGCACACGAGUCCACAUAUUCACCAUAUCAAUACACCACUAUGGAUUCGCCCCCGUCUCCCUACGGGAACGCCAUCCAUAGCACUCACGCUUAUCUUGCGCAUUUUAGAGUAUCCACUUUCACUUGUCUAUGAACUCUUAUAGGCAACCCAGAAGUCCAUUUCCGCGGACACGGCUAUUCGAAUAGAUGAUGUUAACCCUGCAGGGGUGUACUUCGUCACACACGCUCUCGCCACUUACCACCAUGUACACGUCGUGUACCUCGGCAACCUUCAAGCGGAAGCCUGGCGAGGGAGUCGGCCACAGCCUACCUAAACACUCAAGUCUCUAGUCCAGGUUUAUCGCCUAUUCAGGUUCCAUCCGCAGGGAGUCCGGCCGAGGUUUCCACAUACGGCCCCGAACGAUGUGUGCAGGGUUCCCGAGACACCAAACGGGCGCCCGGUACACCGUGCCACGUGCCUACCGCAUCACAGCCCACCCCUCGGUCAGCGCUGUCCACGGCCUCCAGCAUACUACAAACACCAGAAACUACUUGCAACUCCUGGACAGAGGACAAGGGUGAUUAAGAAGCCGAGAGGGUCCAUUGGUUUCGGGCCCAAUGCGUGGUAGUAACUGUAUCAUGGAUCACAAACACAGAACUCAGUUCCUGAGGACGGCUUCAAUGAGACAACCCACCAUGUAGUCCUACAUGGCCUCUCACCGCUACCUUUACCAAAUCGUGUUCACACACUUAGCUCACACACAGUAGGACAUGUUCAUCACCAUUCCAAUUCAUCCCCGAUGAAACAGACCCGACUCAACUCUAAGCAGUAGCAGGCAUGACAAACAAGCAUGAAUGAGUAGGCACAUCAGGGCUCAAACAACUCCUACUCAUGCUAGUGGGUUUCAUCUAUUUACUGUGGCAACGACAGGUCAUGCAGAGGAUAAGGGGUUCAACUACCGCAACAAGUAACAGUUGAAUCGUUGUUGUCCUAAUGUAGUAAAAGAGAGCAGGAGCAAGAGAGUGGGAUUGUAUCGGAAUGAACAAGGGGGGUUAUGCUUGCCUGGCACUUCUGAAGAUAUUAUAGUUCUUCAUCGGUGUCAUCGAUCACGUCGUCGGAAUCACGGCUAUCGAGAGGGGACAAUCACCGGCAAACAAGGAAGAACACAAUCAAUGCAAUGCACAAUAUGAUGCAUGCUAUGACAUGGCAAUAUGAAUGUGUUUUGGGCUAAUGCAAGCUAGAACAGAAUGGUUUGAGUUGAUUUGAACCAAAGAUUCAAAUUCACAUUCAAACUAUGAAUUCAAAUAGUGCAUUAUCAUGUUUUCACCUAUACAGCAGGUAUAACUUAGUUUGACAUGCAUGAAAAUGGUACAGAUGGAUAGAUUGCAUUUUUCUGAUAAUUUUUCAUAUAUAAAUUAUUUCAUUCUGAGCUACGGUUGAUUUUAUAUGAUUUUUAGAAGUUUAUACUAUUUCCUGGAAUUUCCUGAAUAAACUUAAAUCCAGAUAAUGAGUUAUUGCGUCAGCACUGCGUCACUGUGACGUCAGCUAGUCAACAACGCCUAACCAGAGUCAAACCUGACAGUGGGACCCAUAUGUCAUCAACUCAGCUAAAUAAUAUAGUUAACUAGCCUUAAGUUAAACCUAACCAAAAUGUCAGUGGGGCCGGGGCCCACAUGUCAAUGACCCAGGGGGGUCAAAUCCCUGGUCAACCGGGGCUAAAUCACCGGCGUUUAGCCGCCGGCGGCAGCAGACGCGGCGGGAGGGCUCGGAAUCGCUCCUCCGGCGCCCAAUCGAGCAGAGGAGGGCACGCGCGGGGAGCUGGGGCUCGCCCGCAUCCAGAGCGGCAUGCGGCAGCAGCGGGGACGGACGGAGCUCGCCGGAAACGAGCUCGGGGCGGCGCCGGCGUUCGGGUGUUUGUGGCUACGGGGCUGCAGUGGCCGUGGCAGCGCGUUCAUGGCACCUACAGCAACUACGCGAGGCGACGAGCAUGUUGGACACGACGCCUGGGCUAUUUGGUUGCCGGGGCCGCGUCGGCGGCGGGCGCAAGCGGCGGCGGGUGCGGUCGAGCUUGGUGCGGUCGCUACGGCAUGCGAGGAAGAGAACGGAGAGGGGGGAAACGGCCAGCAGCUCACCACGGUCACGACGAGCGGGUCGGCGAGGUCUGGGAGGAGCUGAUGGAGACGGGAGGUCGCCGGCGAUCUCGGCGGCCGAACGACGGAGACGAGGUCGGGGGCGACGCUUCGGGGCGUUUGGCGGGGCGUGACUCGGUGGGGAGGAAGAGGGGGUCGAGGCGAAGCUUCGGAGCACAUCUACGAGGCGAGGCAGUGGCUCUGGGCGCGGUGGUGCUCGUCGGUGGCGACGGCGCGCUCGGGCGGGAAGAACAGAGGAGGGGGAGAGCGUUCGGGGGGGAGAGAGGGAGAGCCGGACGGCUCUGGGGGUCGCGUGGCAUCGUCCAGACGCGUCGAGGCGGAGCCAGGCAGGCAGGGAGGGAGGAGGUGGCCGCGGCGUGUAGCUGCGCGCGUCGGGCACGCGCCCUCGCCUACUGGCGCGAGGAGGAAGGCGACAGGAGAGCGCCUGGUGGGCUGGGCCGCCAGCUGGGCCGGCCAGGUGGCUUUGGUGGGUGCCAGGUAGGUAUCUUCUCUCUCUGCUUUCUGUUUUUCUAAUUUGUUUUUGUUUUCUAAUUAUUUUCCUCUGUUUUGAGUUUAGGAAAAAUACCAAGGCAUUUCCUAAAAUCCUAAAAAUAUUCAUGGACACUUGCUGAAUUAUUUCAGUGGCCCAAAAAUAGUUCCAGCAUUAUUUGAACAUUUAAAUUAUUUAUAGCAUUUAAAUGCCCAAAAGUCAAAUACAAUAAGAUUUAAUUCAAAAAUCCAGGAUGGCCUAGAAAUAGGUGCAUCAUUUUUGGCAGAGGUUUUCACCUUUAACAAAAAUCAUGAACUUUUCUAAAGGGCAUUUGGGUUCAUUGAAAAUAUUGUUUACUUGAACCUAGUUGAAUGCAUUUGGUGCUAGGGUUUCAACAUCCCCAUUUCAAGUUUCUUUGAAAAUUAAACAUGAUGACAUGAGGAACAAGCAAAAGUCAAACAAGGGCUGAUCUGGGGCUGUGACAGCCGAAGCCCAAGUGGGGCAGGGGGUUUCUCUCUCUCUGCUUUUCCUUUUUCCUUUUUUUUGUUUCUUUUUAUUUUCAGCAGCUUUUGCAUUUUCUUUUUAGCCAAUAAUUACUUUGCAAAAUUAUGCCACUGGCCAAAACAAUUUCAAAGAAUUAAAGUGCACUGCCACAAAAAAUAUUGUGAGACUUUUGAAAUAGUUUGCCAAUUUUAUAAAUUAAAAAGGCAUUUAAUUUAUUGCUUAGGUCACUGUUUUACGUAGUUUAGGCCACUUAAACCCUUUGCAAAAAUGUUGGUUCACCACCAAUAUUACCAGAAGAAUAUGUUUCACAUGAUGAACAUUUUAGUUUUCAUGUUUGAGCAAUUUUGAAUUUCACUCAGAAUUUGAAAUUGAAUUCAACUGGAAUUUGAAAUGAGAGAGAACCAAGGGUGACCAAACACUUGUUAAGCAAAAUGAUUAACUUAACCCCAGGGUUACUGUAGCAUCAUUACACCGGGGUGUUACAAGGGUCCUUACGAAGGGUAAAUAGCAAUUGGCAUAUCACCGUUGUGGCUUUUGCGUAGGUAAGAAACAUUCUUGCUAGAAACCCAUAGCAGCCACGUAAAACAUGCAACAACAAUUAGAGGACGUCUAACUUGUUUUUGCAGGGUAUGCUAUGUGAUGUGAUAUGGCCAAAAGGAUGUGAUGAAUUAUAUAUAUGUGAUGUAUGAGAUUGAUCAUGUUCUUGUAAUAGGAAUCACGACUUGCAUGUCGAUGAGUAUGACAACCGGCAGGAGCCAUAGGAGUUGUCUUAAUUUAUUGUAUGACCUGCGUGUCAAUGAAAACGCCAUGUAAUUACUUUACUUUAUUGCUAACCGUUAGCCAUAGUAGUAUAAGUAAUAGUUGGCGAGACAACUUCAUGAAGAUACGAUGAUGGAGAUCAUGAUGAUGGAGAUCAUGGUGUUAUGCCGGUGACGAAGGUGAUCAUGCCGCGCCUCGAAGAUGGAGAUCAAAAGGCACAAGAUGAUAUUGGCCAUAUCAUGUCACUUUAUGAUUUGCAUGUGAUGUUUGUCAUGUUUACAUCUUAUUUGCUUAGAACGACGGUAGCAUAAAUAAGAUGAUCCCUCACUAAAAUUUCAAGAGAUGUGUUCCCCCUAACUAUGCACCGUUGCGAAGGUUCGUUGUUUCAAAGCACCACGUGAUGAUCGGGUGUGAUAGAUUCUAACGUUCGCAUACAACGGGUGUAAGCCAGAUUUACACAUGCGAAACACUUAGGUUGACUUGACGAGCCUAGCAUGUACAGACAUGGCCUCGGAACACAAGAGACCGAAAGGUCGAACAUGAGUCGUAUAGCAGAUACGAUCAACAUGAAGAUGUUCACCGAUGAUGACUAGUCCGUCUCACGUGAUGAUCGGACACGGCCUAGUUGACUCGGAUCAUGUAUCACUUAGAUGACUAGAGGGAUGUCUAUCUGAGUGGGAGUUCAUUAAAUAAUUAGAUGAACUUAAUUAUCAUGAACAUAGUCAAAAUGUCUUCGCAAAUUAUGUCGUAGCUUACGCUUUAGUUCUACUGUUUAACAUAUGUUCCUAGAGAAAAUUUAGUUGAAAGUUGAUAGUAGCAAUUAUGCGGACUGGGUCCGCAAACUAAGGAUUGUCCUCAUUGCUGCACAGAAGGCUUAUGUCCUUAAUGCACCGCUCGGUGUGCUGAACCUCGAGCGUCGUUUGUAGAUGUUGCAAACAUCUGACAUACACGUUUUGAUGACUACGUGAUAGUUCAGUGCGUAAUGUUAAAACGGUUUAAAAUUGUGGCACCAAAGACGGUUUUGAAAUGUCGCAGAACAUAUGAGAUGUUCCAAAGACUGGAAUUGGGAUUUCAUACUAGUGCCCACGUCAAGAGGUAUGAGACCUCUGACAAGUUUCUUAAGCCUGCAAACUAAGGGAGAAAAGCUCAAUCGUUGAGCAUGUGCUCAGAUUGUCUGAGUACUACAAUCGCUUGAAUCGAGUGGGAGUUAAUCUUCCAGAUGAGAUAGUGAUGGUUCUCCAUAGUCACUGACACCAAGCUAUUAGAGCUUCGUGAUGAACUAUAACAUAUCAGGGAUAGACAUGAUGAUCCUUGAGCAACUCGCGAUGUUUGACACCGCGAAAGUAGAAAUCAAGUAGGAGCAUCAAUUGUUGAUGGUUAGUAAAACCACUAGUUUCAAGAAGGGCAAGGGCAAGAAGGGAUACUUCAUGAAACGGCAAAUCAGUUGCUGCUCCAGCGAAGAAACCCAAGGUUGAACCCAAACCCGAGACUAAGUGCUUCUGUAAUGAGGGGAACGGUCACUGAAGCAGAACUACCCUAGAUACUUGGUAGAUGAGAAGGCAGGCAAGGUUGACAGAAGUAUAUCAAUGUGUACUUUACUAGUACUCCUAGUAGCACCAGGGUAUUAGAUACCGGUUCGGUUGCUAAGUGUUGGUAACUUGAAAUAAAAGGCUACGGAAUAAACAGAGACUAGCUAAAGGUCAGAUGACGAUAUGUGUUGGAAGUGUUUCCAAGGUUGAUGUGAUCAAGCAUCGCAUGCUCCCUCUACCAUCGAGAUUGGUGUUAAACCUAAAUAAUUUUUAUUUGGUGUUUGCGUUGAGCAUAGACAUGAUUGGAUUAUGUUUAUCACAAUACGGUUAUUCAUUUAAGGAGAAUAAUGGUUACUCUUUUAUUUGAAUAAUACCUUCAAUGGUCUUGCGCCUAAAAUGAAUGGUUUAUUGAAUCUCGAUCGUAGUGAUACACAUGUUCAUGCCAAAAGAUAUAAGAUAGUAAUGAUAGUACCACAUACUUGUGGCACUGCUAUUUGAGUCAUAUUGGGAUAAAACGCAUGAAGAAGCUCCAUGUUGAUGGAUCUUUGGACUCACUCGUUUUUGAAAAGAUUGAGACAUGCGAGCCAUGUGUAUUGGUAUAUAUGAAGAAACUCCAUACAGCUGGAUCAUUUGGACUCACUUGAUUUUGAAUGACUUGAGACAUGCAAAUCAUACCACAUGGGCAAGAUGACUGAAAGGCCUCGUUUUCAGUGAGAUGGAACAAGAGAGCAACUUGUUGGAAGUAAUACAUUUGAUGUGUGCAGUCCAAUGAGUGCUGAGGCAUGCAGUGGAUAUCGUUAUGUUCUUGCUUCACAGAUGAUUUGAGUAGAUGUUGAGUAUAUUUACUUGAUGAAACACAAGUCUGAAUUAUUGAAAGGUUCAAGUAAUUUCAGAGUGAAGUUGAAGAUCGUCGUGACAAGAGGAUAAAAUGUCUGUGAUAUGAUCAUGGAGAUGAAUAUCUGAGUUACGAGUUUGGCACACAAUUAAGAAAUUGUGGAAAUUGUUUCAUGACUAAUACCGCUUGGAACACCAUAGUGUGAUGGUGUGUCCGAACAUCAUAACUGCACCCUAUUGGAUAUGGUGCAUGCCAUGAUGUCUCUUAUCGAAUUACACUAUCGUUUAUGGGUUAGGCAUUAGAGACAACCGCAUUCACUUUAAAUAGGGCACCACGCAAUUCCGUUGAGACGACACCGUAUGAAAUAUGGUUUAGAGAAACCUAAGCUGUCGUUUCUUAAAAGUUUGGGGCUGCGACGCUUAUGUGAAAAAGUUUCAGGCUGAUAAGCUCGAACCCAAAACGGAUAAAUGCAUCUUCAUAUGACACCCAAAAACAGUUGGGUAUACCUCCUGUCUCUGAUCCGGAAGCAAAAGGGUUUGUUUCUAGAAUCGGGUCCUUUCUCGAGGAAAAGUUUCUCUCGAAAGAAUUGAGUGGGAGGAUGGUGGAGACUUGAUGAGGUUAUUGAACCGUCACUUCAACUAGUGUGUAGCGGGGCACAAGAAGUUGUUCCUGUGGAGCCUACCCAAUUGAAGUGGAAGCUGAUGAUAGUGAUCAUGAAACUUCAGAUCAAGUCACUACCAAACCUCGUAGGUCGACAAGGAUGCGUACUACUUCAUAGUGGUACGGUAAUCCUGUCUUGGAAGUCAUGUUGUUGGACAACGAUGAACCUAUGAGCUAUGCAGAAGCGAUGGUGGGCCCAAAUUCCGACGAAUGGCUCGAGGCCAUAAAAUCCGAGAGAGGAUCCAUGUAUAAAAACAAAGUGUAGACUUUGGAAGAACUACUUGAUGGUCGUAAGGCUGUUGGGUGCAGAUGGAUUUUAAAAGGAAGACGGACAAUGAUGGUAAGUGUCACCAUUAAGAAAGCUCGACUUGUCGUUAAGAUGUUUUCCGACAAGUUCAAGGAGUUGACUAUGAUGAGAUUUUCUCACUCGUAGCGAUGCUAAGAGUCUGUUGGAAUUAUAUUAGCAGUUACUGCAUUAUUUAUGAAAUCUUGCAGAUAGGAUGUCAAAACAUUGUUUCCUCGACGAUUUUCUUGAGGAAAGGUUGUAUGUGAUACAACCAGAUGGUUUUGUCAAUCCUGAAAGAUGCUAACAAGUAUGCAAAGCUCCAGCAAUCCUUCUAAGGACUGGAGUAAGCAUCUCGGAGUUGGAAUGUACGCUUUGAUGAGAUGAUCAAAGAUUUUGGAUUUAUACAAAGUUUAUGAGAAACUUAUAUUUCCAAAGAAGUGAGUGGGAGCACUAUAGAAUUUUUGAUGAGUAUAUGUUGUUAACAUAUUGUUGAUCAGAAAUGAUGUAGAAUUUCUGGAAAGCAUAUAGAGUUAUUUGAAAAGUGUUUUUCAAUGGAAAACCUGGAUUAAGCUACUUGAACAUUGAGCAUCAAGAUCUAUAAGGAUAGAUCAAAAGCUCUCAAUAGUACUUUCAAAUGAAUACAUACCGUGACAAGAUUUUGAAGGAGUUCAAAAUAGAUCAGCAAAGAAGGAGUUCUUGGCUGUGUUACAAGGUGUGAGUAUUGAGUAAGACUCAAGACCUGACCACGGCAGAAGAGAGAGAAAGGACGAAGGUCGUCCCCUAUGCUUUAGACGUAGGCUCUACAAUAUGCUAUGCUGUGUACCGCACCUGAAGUGUGCCUUGUCAUGAGUUAGUCAAGGGGUACAAUAGUGAUCCAGGAAUGGAUCACAUGAUAGCGGUCGAACUUAUCCUUAGUAACUAGUGGACUAAGGAAUUUUCUCGAUUAUGGAGGUGGUAAAAGAGUUCGUCGUAAAGGGUUACGACGAUGCAAACUUUGACACUAAUCCGGAUGACUCUGAGUAGUAAACCGGAUUCGUAUAGUAGAGCAGUUAUUUGGAACAGCUCCAAGUAGCGCAUGGUAGCUGCAUCUACAAGAUGACAUAGAGAUUUGUAAAGCACACACGGAUCUGAAUGUUGCAGACUCGUUGACUAAAACCUCUCUCGUAAGCAUAACAUGAUCAAACCCUAGAACUUUGAGUGUUAAUCACAUGGUGAUGUGAACUAGAUUAUUUACUCUAGUGCAAGUGGGAAACUGUUGGAAAUAUGCCCUAGAGGCAAUAAUAAAAUGGUUAUUAUUGUAUUUCCUUGUUCAUGAUAAUUGUCUAUUGUUCAUGCUAUAAUUGUAUUAACUGGAAACCAUAAUGCAUGUGUGAAUACAUAGACCACAACAUGUCCCUAGUAAGCCUCUAGUUGACUAGCUCGUUGAUCAAUAGAUGGUUAUGGUUUCCUGACCAUGGACAUUGGAUGUCAUUGAUAACGGGAUCACAUCAUUAGGAGAAUGAUGUGAUGGACAAGACCCAAUCCUAAGCAUAGCACAAGAUCGUGUAGUUCGUUUGCUAGAGCUUUUCUAAUGUCAAGUAUCAUUUCCUUAGACCAUGAGAUUGUGCAACUCCCAGAUACCGUAGGAAUGCUUUGGGUGUAUCAAACGUCACAACGUAACUGGGUGGCUAUAAAGGUGCACUACAGGUAUCUCUGAAAGUGUCUGUUGGGUUGGCACGAAUCGAGACUGGGAUUUGUCACUCCGUAUGACGGAGAGGUAUCUCUGGGCCCACUCGGUAAUGCAUCAUCAUAAUGAGCUCAAUGUGACUAAGUAGUUAGUCACGGGAUCAUGCAUUACGGAACGAGUAAAGUGACUUGCCGAUAACGAGAUUGAACGAGGUAUUGGGAUACCGACGAUCGAAUCUCGGGCAAGUAACAUACCGAUUGACAAAGGGAAUUGUAUACGGGAUUGAUUGAAUCCCUGACAUCGUGGUUCAUCCGAUGAGAUCAUCGUGGAACAUGUGGGAGCCAAUAUGGGUAUCCAGAUCCCGCUAUUGGUUAUUGGCUAGAGAGAUGUCUUGGUUAUGUCUGCAUGGUUCCCGAACCCGUAGGGUCUACACACUUAAGGUUCGGUGACGCUAGAGUUGUUAUGGGAAAUAGUAUGUGGUUACCGAAGGUUGUUCGGAUCCCGGAUAGGAUCCCGGACGUCACAAGGAGUUCUGGAAUGGUCUGGAGGUAAAGAUUUAUAUAUGGGAAGUCAUCAUACGGUCACCGGAAGUGUUCGGGGGUAUGCCGGUAUUGUACCGGGGCCACCGAAGGGGUUCCGGGGGUCCACCGGGAGGGUCCACCUGCCCCGGAGGGCCUUAUGGGCUGUAGGUGGAAGGGAACCAGCCCCUAAGUGGGCUGGGCACCAACCUCCCCCUAGGGCCCAUGCGCCUAGGGUUGGGGGAAACCCUGGAGGGGGCGCCCCCCUUGACUUGGGGGGCAAGCCACCCUCCCUGGCCGCCGCCCCUCCCACCAGAUGGGAUCUAAGGGGCCGGCCCCCCUCUCCCUUGCCCCUAUAUAUAGUGGAGGGGUGGGAGGGCAGCCGAACCUCUUCCCUGGCGCAGCCCUCCCUCCUCAUACACCUCCUCCUCCUCCGUAGUGCUUAGCGAAGCUCUGCCGGAGAACCACGAGCUCCAUUGCCACCACGUCGUCGUGCUGCUGGAGUUCUCCCUCAACUUCUCCUCUCCCCUUGCUGGAUCAAGAAGGAGGAGACGUCCCCGGGCUGUACGUGCGUUGAACGCGGAGGCGUCGUCCGUUCGGCGCUAGAUCGGAUCUUCCGCGAUUUGAAUCGCCGCGAGUACGACUCCAUCAACCGCGUUCUUGUAACGCUUCCGCUUAGCGAUCUUCAAGGGUAUGAAGAUGCACUCCCUCUCUCUCGUUGCUAGCAUCUCCUAGAUUGAUCUUGGUGACACAUAGGAAAAUUUUGAAUUAUUGCUACGUUCCCCAACAGGAAGUCUAAGUGGAGCACACACAACCCGAAUACAGUAUCCGGUGCCACAUGUUAUUUAUCACACACACGUGUUAACAUAAGGAAACGUUUGUGUAACUUACUAAUCAUCACACACGAGUACUCGCAGACGCAUCAUGUGCGAUACUCCUAGCCACCGCAAGCAACUGGUUUGCAUUUUUCAAAGUUUUUUGUACACACAGAAUCGCACACGAACUAACUGUCUUAACCGUAUGUGUUUUAAUUCCUCAUCGCAAACAGUUCAUCCGAGUCGGCUGUUUGCCACGUAUCACACACAUCUUGUUAAGUUGAACCAUUUCUGUUGUGUUCCCUAAUCGAAAACAGUUCGUCUGAGUGAACCGUAUGCCGUAUAUCACACACCUUGAUCUGGCUAACCAUUUCUGUUGCACUCCCUAAUAGCAAACAGUUCAUCGGAGCGAACUGUAUGCCGUAUAUCGCACACACAUUGAUAUGGUUGCCCAUUUCUGUUGUUCUGCCUCAUCACAAACAGAUCGAUUGGAUUAACCGUGUGCCCUGCAUCGCACACACAACUAAAAUCUGAACCGUGUUUGAUGGCUCCGCCAUCGCAAACGUUUUGCACCUCUUUUGACGGUUUUUUUACAUCCCCGUUUGCGAUUAAUGCAUCGCACACAGUUUCAUGAAAGGGUCUUUGAUCGUAGUGUCGCGUUAGCAGCAUCCUGCAGUAGCGGUGUCAUCAUUACGAGCUUGCCAGACGUUCAUAACAUCUACAUCUGCUCCUGCAAUAGCUCUGUCACCUAGCGGUGCAUCAAGGACAUAAUUCUUCUGUGCAGCAAUGAGGAUAAUCCUCAGAUCACGGACCCAGUCCGCAUCAUUGCUACUAUCAUCUUUCAACUUAUUUUUCUCUAGGAACAUAUCAAAAAUAAACGGGGAGCUACAUCGCGAGCUAUUGAUCUACAACAUAGAUAUGCAAAUACUAUCAGGACUAAGUUCAUGAUAUAUUAAGUUCAAUUAAUCAAAUUACUUAAGAACUCCCACUUAAAUAGACAUCCCUCAAGUCAUCUAAGUGAUACGUGAUCCAAAUCAACUAACCCAUGUCCGAUCAUCACGUGAGAUGGGGUAGCCAUCAAUGGUGAACAUAUCUAUGUUGAUCAUCUACUAUAUGAUUCACGUUCGACCUUUUGAUCUCUAGUGUUCCGAGGCCACGUCUGUACAUGCUAGGCUCGUCAAGUUUAACCCGAGUAUUCCGCAUGUGCAAAACUGUCUUGCACCCAUUGUAUGUGAACGUAGAGUCUAUCACACCCAAUCAUCACGUGGUGUCUCAACACGACGAACUGUCGCAAUGGUGCAUACUCAGGGAGCGCACUUAUACCUUGAAAUUUAGUGAAGGGAUCAUCUUAUAGUGCUACCGUCGUACUAAGCAAAAUAAGAUGCAUAAAAGACAAACAUCACAUGCAAUCAAAAUAUGUGACAUGAUAUGGCCAUCAUCUUGUGCUUUUGAUCUCCAUCUCCAAAGCAUCAUCAUGAUCUCCAUUGUUACCGGCUCGACACCUUGAUCUCCAUCGUUGCGUCGUGGUCGUCUCGCGAACUAUUGCUUUUACAACUAUUGCUAAAUCAUAGCGAUAAAGUAAAGCAAUUACAUGACGUUUGCACUUCAUACAAUAAAGAGACAACCAUAAGGCUCCUGCCGGUUGUCGAUAACUUACAAAACAUGAUCAUCUCAUACAAUAACGUUUAUCACAUCAUGUCUUGACCAUAUCACAUCACAACAUACCCUGCAAAAUCAAGUUAGACGUCCUCUACUUUGUUGUUGCAAGUUUUACGUGGCUGCUAUGGGUUUCAAGCAAGAACCGUUCUUACCUACGCAUAAAACCACAACGGUGUUUCGUCAAGUUUGCUAUUUUAACCUUCUUCAAGGACCGGCCAUAGUCAACUUUGAUUCAACUAAAGUAGGAGAAACAGACACCCGCCAGCCACCUUUAUGCAAAAUUAGUUGCAUGUCUGUCGGUGGAACUGGUCUCAUGUACGUGGACAUGUAAGGUUGGUCCGGGCCGCUUCAUCCCACAAUACCGCUGAAUCAAAAUAAGACGUUGGUCGUAAGAAGUAUGACUAUCACCACCCACAACUCGUUGUGUUCUACUUGUGCAUAUCAUCUAUGCAUAGACCUGGUUCAUGAUGCCACUAUUGGGAAUAGUUGCAUGGAAAACAAAAAAAAUUCUAUGCACACACAAUGAUAUAUCCAUGGAGAUGCAUAGCAACGAGGGGGAGAAUGUGUCUACAUACCCUCGUAGACCAUAAGCGGAAGCGUUUAUUCAACGCGGUUCAUGUAGUCGUACACCUUCGCGAUCCGCCCGAUCAAGUACCGAACGCACGGCACCUCUGCGUUCUGCACACGUUCAACUCGGUGUUGUCCUCGCCAUCUUGAUCCAGCAAGCGGGGCGAGGUAGUAGAUGAGUUCCGUCGGCAUAACGGUGUGGUGACGGUGGUGGUGAAGUAAUCCCGCAGGGCUUCGCCUAAGCACUGCGACGAUCUAGAGCGGAGCAGUAAACUAGAGGCGGAGGGGUGCCGACACACGGCGUGGAAUAAGAUGUGUAUUGUGUGGCACCCAUCCCCACAUAUAUAUAGGUGUGGGAGGGGAGGAGGCAGCCCCUAGGGCACCCCAACAGGUGUGGCGGUAGUCCUAGGGCUCCUCCCUUUGGUGCGCCCCCUGCCAAAUAAUGGCACAAGGGGGAAGGAAAGGGGGAGGCGCCCCCUUCUUUCCUUCCUCCCUUCUCCGGGAUAUGGUAAGAGGGGGUGCCCCCCCUUACCAUGUAUUAGGUGUGGCUGCCCUAAAGGGGGCGCACCAGCCCAUGUGGGCUGGUGUGUUCCCUUCCACUUGGCCCACUAAGGCCCAAUACUCUCCCAGUGCCUCCGGAACCCCUUCCGGUAUUCCGAUAACUUUCCGGUGCAUUCCGAAACCAUUCUGGAGACCAAAUAGCAUCAUCCUAUAUAUCAAUCUUUACCUCCGGACCAUUCAGGAGCUCCUUGUCAUGUCCGUGAUCUCAUCUGGGACUUCGAACAACAUUCGAUCACCAAACCACAUAACUCAUAUAAUACCAAAUCGACAUCGAACGUUAAGCGUGCGGACCCUACGGGUUCGAGAACUAUGUAGACAUGACCGAGACACCUCUCUGGUCAAUAACCAAUAGCAGAACCUAGAUGCCCAUGUUGGCUCCUACAUAUUCUACGAAGAUCUUUAUCGGUCGAACCGUUAUGACAACAUACGUAAUUCCCUUUGUCCAUCGGUAUGUUACUUGCCCGAGAUUCGAUCGUCGGUAUCUCUAUACCUAGUUCAAUCUCGUUACCGGCAAGUCUCUUCACUCGUAUGUAAUACAUCACCUCGUGACUAACUCCUUAGUUGUUUGCUUGCAAGCUUAUGAUGUGUAUUAUCGAGAGGGCCCAGAGAUUCCUCUCCGAUACUCGGAGUGACAAAUCCUAAUCUCGAUCUAUGCCAACUCAACAAACACCUUCGGAGAUACCUGUAGAGCAUCUUUAUAAUCACCCAGUUACGUUGUGAUGUUUGAUAGCACACAAGGCAUUCCUCCGGUAUCCGGGAGUUGCAUAAUCUCAUAGUCGAAGGAAUAUGUAUUUGACAUGAAGAAAGCAAUAGCAAUAAAACUGAACGAUCAUUAUGCUAAGCUAACAGAUGGGUCUUUUCCAUCACAUCAUUCUUCUAAUGAUGUGAUCUCGUUAUGAAAUGACAACUCACGUCCAUGGUUAGGUAACCUUAACCAUCUUUGAUCAACGAGCUAGUCUAGUAGAGGCUCACUAGGGACACGGUGUUUGUUUAUGUAUUCACACAUGUAUCAAGGUUUCCGAUCAAUACAAUUCUAGCAUGAAUAAUAAACCUUUAUCAUGAAUAAGGAAAUAUAAAAUAACAACUUUAUUAUUGCCUCUAGGGCAUAUUUCCUUCACAUAGUUCAUCCAAAAGGCAUCACUUCACCGAUCAGGGUUGAACCAAAAUCACCACAAAUAUAGCAUGUGUUAUGUUGUGCAUCGAGGCCAACCAAUGGCAUGCACGAACUCAACACAAUGUCCUUGCCAAGGAAAUCACCACCGCCACCGCCGUACACAUGGCCUGAUGGGGAAUAUUGCAUGAAAAUCAAAAAAAUUCCUACGAACCACCCAAGAUCUAAUCUAUGAGAUGCGUAGCAACGAGAGGAAAGUGAUUCUACAUACCCUUGUUGACCAAAAGUGUUAGCGUAUGUAACGCGGUUGAUGUAGUCGUACUCUUCGCGAUCCAAUCCGAUCUAGUGUUGAAUGGAUGAUACCUCCGAGUUUAGCACACAUUCAGCUUGAUGACGUCCUCUCCUCCUUGAUCCAUCAAGCGAAGGAGAUGAGGUAGAUGAGAUCGGGGCCAGCUCAACGGCGAGGUGGUGGUGGUGGCAGCGGAAUUCCGGCAGGGCUUCGCAAAGCGCGUACCGAAGAAACGUGGGAGGAAUUGGGAGAGGCAAUGGGCAAGGGUCAGGGGGUGGCUGCCCCCAUGCACCCCCUCUUCAUAUAGGCUAGGGGCAGGGGCGGGCGUACAAAACCCUCCUAGGGUAUGCCACAAGGGAGAAAUUCCUUUAAACCUGGAGAUAACAUCUUAUCUCUAGAUUCAACCCUUUAAAUUUAGAGAUAAGACCUUUUCUCUAGAUUUGAACGACAGUGCCUUGGGGAAUGGUGCGGCCAGCCCAUGUGGGUUGUAGCCCUACCCCUUGGUCCAUGUGGGACCUUCUCGGGUCGUUGGGCCCCACGGUGGAACCCCUGGAACCUUGUAGAACCUUCCCGGUACUCUACUAAAAAUUUCUGAACUUCUCCGGAACCCUGAAUUUGACUUCCCAUAUAUAAAUCUUUACCCCCGGACCAUUUCGGAGCUCCUCGGGAUGUCUGGGAUCCCAUCCGGGACUCCAAGCUACUUUUGGACUUUGCACUAUUAAUGUCUCAACAUUACUCUAGCGCUACCAAAUGUUAAGCGUGCGACCCUACAGGUUCGGGAAUCAUGUAGACAUGACCAAUACACAUGUCCGGUCAAUAACCAAUAGCGUGACCUGGAUACUCAUAUUAAUUCCUACAUUUUCCACGAAGAUCUUUAUCGGUUGAACCACAAUGUCGGGGAUUCAGUUAAUCUCGUAUAUAUUUCGCUUUGUCCGGUGAUAUGUUACUUGCCCAAGAUUCGAUCGCCAGUAUCUUCAUACUUAGUUCAAUCUUGUUACCGGCAAGUCUCUUUACUUUUCCGUAAUACAAGAUGUCGUGACUAAACUCAUUAGUCACAUGCUUGCAAGCUUCUUGUGAUGUUGUAUUACCGUGAGGGCCCAGAGAUAUCUCUCCGUCACACGGAGUGACAAAUCCCAGUCUCGAUCCAUGCAACCCAACAAAUACUUUCGGAGAUACCUUUAGAGUAUCUUUAUGAUCACCCAGUUAUGAAGUGACGUUUGAUAGCACACAAAGCAUUCCUCUGGAAUCCGGGAGUGGCAUGAUCUCAUGGUCUAAGGAACAUAUACUUGACAUGAAGAAAACUGUACCAAAUAAACUAAGUGAGACGAUUUGAUGCUAAGCUUACAGUUGGGUCUGUCCAUCACAUCAUUUUCGUAAUGAUGUGACCGUUAUUAAAUGACAACUCAUAUCUAUGGUUAGAAAACCUUAACCAUCUUUGAUAACGAGCUAGUCUAGUAGAGGCUCACUAGGGACACGGUGUUGUUUAUACCUGUUUAUAUAUCCACGCAUGUAUUUAAGUUUUCGGUCAAUACAAUUCUAGCAUGAAUAAUAAACAUUUAUCAUGAACAAGGAAAUAUGAUAAUAACUAAUUUAUUAUUGCCUCUAGGGCAUAUUUCCAACAUGGCCACCAUCACCACCAUCCUCUCGGCGACCACCCUCUCGGCCACCACCACCACCAUUCCGAAGAGAGACUUCCGUUUUGGUCAUGCUAGCACGAUCUUUGACUUUCCUGGCAUCACGAAGCCUCUCAUCCUCAAGUGUAAGUCUACACUCCUCUACCUUCAACUUUCUCUCCCUGGCCACCAACUUGGACCUCCAUUUCUCAUCCUCCAACAUCUUGAGCUCAUUCCACCUCGCCAACACCUUCUUGGCCCCAAUCAUGGCUACAAGUUCUUCUUUGUAUGCACCAUCAUAUGCACUUCUCUUCUUUCUCUCUUUUUGCAAUUUUGUUCCCUUUCGGUCCAUUGUUGGCCUCUUCAUCCACGUCGUCCUCCUCCUCAACGGAUAUGCUCAAUCUUGAUCUUUUUGAAGUGGUAUCCGCAACUCUCUUGAUCCACUUCUCUUUUUUGCAAAUCUCUUUGUAGAAUGAUACAAAGUGAAGUGCUUGUGGCCGAACUUCUUGUUCCUAUGCUUGAAGAGUUCUUGGAUGUACGAGCCAUACUCCAUGACUUGCACAUCGCUUGGUGGUGCAUGAUUCACUUGAUUGGUGCAACCAGACCAUCGGUUGCAUUGGUCGUGAAUGGUGCCCCAACGAUGCCCAAGAGACCCUUGUGUAUGGUUUGAUGUCAGCUCCAUGGAUUUGUUGUAGUACUCUGCAAUUCUCUCCCAAAACUUGUCCUCGGAUUGAUCCGUGCAUCCAUGGAGAUGUUCAUCCAAGCAUAGCAUAGGGUAAUAUCUUCAAAUAGAUGUGAGUUCGUGACCUAGGCGUCUUCGUGCUUCCCUCAGUCACCUCCUCAAGUUCUUCUACAUCGGCCACCUCCUCUUCGGCCCCCUCUUUUUCGGCACCUCCUCUUGAUGAUCCCAAAUCGAAUUAUGAUGGUCUAGCCCAAUCGUAGCCGAGGACUCCAAAGAUGCCAAGAAUUCGACCGUCUUCAUCUCCACAAUAAUACAACAAAAUCAACAAACUCCAUCAUCAUCGGCCACCAACAUUCACUGUCAAAUUCAUCGGCCAAAACGAAAAGGAAAGUUUUUUUUACCUUGUUGGCAUUUCCUCGAGCACUUGGCAGUCGCGGCCCUUUUUGUCGGCAGCAACAACCGGACGCACCGGAGCAGUGGCCAUAGCGGUGGCCAGAGACGCUACACGAGGCACCAAACAUGGAGGGGGGUGGCCUUCUUCUUCUCUGCGGCCUCCUCGGUGAGGGCCGACGGUGCAGCCGUCGGUUUCCAAGCUCUUUUGCCGUCAGUGGGAGCUGCGGGAGGGAGGCCGACCGUCGCCAGAGAGGCAGUGGCCACUCCGACGGCCCCGGUCACGGUUGGAGCCGCCGCUUAUGGCCGGUGAAGAUUUUUUAUCCCCAACCUCUUUUUCGGUGCAGGCGGCGGCGUGGGGUGGUUUUUCGGCGGUGACAAGCCGACGACGGUGGUCGGUGGGGUGCUGGAAGUGUCUUGGCUACCCAAUCCGGUGAUGGAGGCGGUCAUUGGUGGCGACGGCGGCGCGUGGGCCAGCGACGGCAGGAAGGAUGCAGCCGCGCGGGCGCUGGGUAUAUUUAGCCGGGAGGGAGGGGGUGGGGGCGGAUUUCGGCGGGGGAGUGAAAAGUUUGAAUUUAGAGAACCAGUUAGGUACGGUUUAGUGGAGUAAACUAGAAAAUUACUCCACUGUACUUUUUAGGAUCAGCUAGAGAUCUCUGAUCGAGAAGAUUUAUUAUGAUGACGAACGCUGAAGUGUUUGGCUAUGUUGGUCCGUUGAGCGUUUCGCUUCGCAGGUUUGAUCAACUUGCUCAGCAAUCCUAGGGGGCACGCUUGUCAUUUCGGCUCCCUUCACUGUACAGGCAAACGACCGUCACAACUCACAAACGGCGUGUGCCACCCUUUCGCUCCGGAGUCCGGCUACAAAGGCCCCUCCCCAACCCCAAUCUGGGAUUCUGGGGAGACCUCAAGCCAUUAGCACAUCCCGUUCACGACCAUGGCUCUCUACCGCCUACCCCUCUUCCUCCUCAUCCUCAUAGCCAUCGUACCCCUGUUCACCGCCUCCGCUUCCCACAGCCAGCUCUCGCCGGAGCACGCCGCCGCGCGCCGCCGCCACCACACUUCCCCCGCCACCGCCUGCGCGGCCACCGUCCAAUUCCACCCCGCCACCAGCGCCACCUCCUCCAUGCCCCAAAACCACCUCGGGAUGGAGCACAGCCCGUCACCACUCGAAGCCACGGCGGGGAACCCCCAUGCACUGCCCGUGCCGCCCCAAGCAGCCACGCCGCCGCCUCCACCCCAGGCACCGGCACUGCUGCUGCAGGAGGACUCGGACUCGGAGGGGUCGUCAUCUGCUUCGGCCUCUCCAUCCGCGGCCGCGUCCACGACAACGACGACGCUUCUACCGCUCCUCAAUCAGCGCGCCGCGGCGGCAUCAGCAAGCUCUGCGUCUCCUGUCCAAGCCGGCGUCGCGAGGGUGGUAGGCUGGGGCAGCGAAGAGGGGCUGCUGCGCUGGCGAGGGUGCUUACGGCGCUGGGGUACGACGAGAUGGCAUCGGCGGCGACGCACCACCCCAACUUACCGCCGCUCGCGAGGUGGCACGGGCCGAUCACCGUCUUCGCGCCUCCCGACAUCUCCCUCCAGACCUCGUGCUCCAUGUGCUCGCGCCGCCGCCUCCUCCUGGACCACAUCGCCUUGGGCUACUACCCGUACUCCGAGCUCACCGCCGCCCCCACCAUCAAGAUUCCAUCGGCCUCCGUCAACCUCUGCCUCAACAUCGACACCGUGAGCGCCACCUUCUCCGUCCACCACGCCAGGCUCUUCGUCGAAGGCGUCGAGAUUUCCCACCCUGAGGUCUACAACGACGGCCGCUACAUCGUCCAUGGCCUCCGCACCUUCCUGCAACCGCUCUCACGCUACUCCUGCUUCGACCGCUCGCACUCGUACCACUGCCACGGCGACAGCAUGCCAACCCGGUCGGACGCGACCUCCGUCUCCAUGUCCGCGAUGCGUGUGAGCAUCAGGAUCCGCGAGGCCAUCGCCCGUCUCCGCGAUGCACGUUAGAGACGGCUUCAUGCCGCCUGACUUGCCAUGGCGACACCGGCGGCCACCGGAAGUCCUGCGGACGUUGUGAUGAGUUCUGAACUUCUGAUGGUAAUUUGUGGCUGCGUGGUUGUCUCGCUAUCGAGUACUGCUUGAAUGAUUGGAAUAUUUUUGGAAACUUGAUUGAGUUGAUGCUCUCUAUUGAACUACACUAAAUCUCUUUUAGAUCUUCAUUUAGUUGCUCUGUUCAUGAUAUCCAGGCGCCCUCUCGAGCUUGGGUUGUGGAUGUGCAGUUCUGCCAGUGAAAGGUUCGAUCGUCUUUCCUGAUGUUCCUUGCUCCUGAUAUGCUGUGCAAAUUCUGCUCCUCAUCAGUUACUGUCGACAUGGCAUCCCCAUUGCUUCUUCAUUAAUUCAAACAUUACAUGAUCUUCUGAAAAUGUUGUUCGGUUGGUAAUUGGUAUACUCUCCAGGUUGGUAAUAAGAGUCUUGGUUUGAUCAAGCACCACGGUAGCAAUUGGAUGCCAUUGUAUUGUUUUUGUCAAUAACUCAUAGUGAUCUACUUUUUCUCUUUUCUGUCAAGAUGGAAAAAACAGUUUACAAUUGAACCUUCUCGACAAUGGUUUACCCUGUUGCCGUUUCUUCUUGAAAUAUGCCUUGUUGUGGUUCUUUGUGAACCUAUGUUUGUUGUGGCCGCCUGGAUUGAUUCAGAUGAUUAGCUCCGGGUUACGCAACUCCAGCUUCUUCGGCUUGAAACUUGGUAAAGAUUUGAACGAUCUGGUUCUGCAGUUACGCUAUUCUCAUCUCGUGUAGAGAUAUAUGCACUAUAUAUGCCACUUUUUGUGUCAUUUUCGUUUCUGCAUGCAUCAGUUAGUGUUAAGCUGGUUCAGUUUGCUUCUAGGCUGGAAUGUUGUUCAGUUUGCUGAGUUUUGUUGUUAAGUCAUACGUUUGUUUAGGCACGGAUGCCCUCAGUUUGCAAACCUGUGACAUUUAUCUGUGUGUAUUCUGGUCACUGAUUCACCACAUGUUCUGUUUUUCCAUGGAUUAUAUUCAUCGAAAGAGUGUCACACGGACCGAGACUGGCUCAUGAAGCUUAUUAAAUUCCAUAUUAUGGCAGAAAUGUUUGUUGCAUAAGUUCAAAUAUAUUUGGUACACGAUUGAAGGCUAUGGCAAGGAAUAUUUUUACCCAACAUGGAUGGCAGCAUGAUCAUAGGAUUGGUCCUUCUUCACUUUAGGCGUCAUAGGACUCUACAUGUCUCUUUGUAUUUCGUCUUUUUUUUUUACGUUGGGUCUGUCUAGGUCUCAGUCGAUUGAGACUUCACGAAGUCUCAGUCGGCUGAUGUCAUCAUAAGUAGAUCAGGCCUGUUUAGUAGCUCUUGUACGCUGGGUUGUAUCUGGCUUGAAACUGGGCUUAUUUUCGUUUUUCAGUUUGUUUGUUUGAUACUUUGGGCUGGGCUGCUUACUUUCUUUGUUUGUGAUUGGGCUUGUUAUGAUUUGUUCGUAAACAUAUCUGAGAAAAGUAAUGAGCAAAAAACUUGCAGGCCAGGCCCAGCCAAUAUAAAUACAAAAGAUUAUGGAUGUACGAGGACAGGAGUUGCUGUUCAGAACUAACUAAACUGAACUGUGCUGUCCAUUGUUCAUGGAAUUGAUCAGAGCAACAUAUGUUGUUUUUCAGUACUGAAGUUGACUAGCAGCUUGCAGAUGCUCCUCUACCUAGUUUCAACAAGAGUACAUAGACAUGUUGACACGGCAAAACAGCUAGUUAACAUCCCGUGUUACCUAGUUAACCCCUGUAUCAACUAAUAAAACUCAGAAAAAAUAUGGAUAUUUAUUGAAAAGGUUACAAACCAUUGUAGAAACUUCCGUGUCAGUGAUUUCUACAUGAUAUCCUCGCUCUUCUAAUGUUGGAUCUUCAAGACACUGCUAUUUGCCUUCUGCAUUUCUGUUGUCUGUGUUGUUUUCAGGAUUGCUUCCUUUGUCAUCCGUGUCAGUGCCCAUGCAUUGCUGUAUUCGCAAAAUGUAUAUGUAACAUUAGUGUUGUGAACAAAGGAACUGGAAAAAAACAAAAAAUAGGGCAGAAAAACUAAGGAUAUGAACUAGACAAACAUUUUAGCCACUAGCAUAAAAACAUCAGCCAGUUUUAGUUCCUUUUAUCAAAUACAUUUUACCCGCAAACAAGAAAAUAGAAGCAUCAGCAUACAUCCACAUGUAGGUUAAAAAAAUAACGGCAACACAAUGUAAAUACUUAACUGACAUCUUUACCACCAGCAUACAUGAAAAUGGCAGUAGGCCCACUGUAUUUAGCUGAGAUGUUCUCAACUCUACUUCAGGAAUAUACAAACUUUGCUGAUGCUUGUGUUAUAAAAAUAAGACAAAAAAACAGGUGCGCGCGCGCACACACACACACACAAACCAUGAGCUUAUUCUGAACAAAACAUCAUGGAUUAAUUUAGAUCCAAAAAACCAUGCCUACAUGCAUGAGGUUUUGGAUGGAUUUCAAAAUCUACAUCAAACGUGGUCUCACCAGCACAAAAAAGGUUGCAAUCAAAACCACCAAAAGAAUUGCCUCUAGCGGCUCAGGUUAGCAAACAACCCCAACAUCCUGUUUGAUUCUUCCAAAACAGCAGCUAUUGCUAUACUACAGAAACAUCGAGCUCACCACUACACGCAUCAAAGAAACACACUUGGCUCCAAUCCCCCACAAAAAUCUCCCUCCUGAUCCUCAUCAGUGUCGCGUGUAUCAUUCCUCCAUUUCACAUCAGAGAGUAAACUCACGCCAAAAACACGAAAAUCGCCCCCUCAAAAUCGCUAAAUAAAACUAGGUCCUCCGCACUUACCUGGUCCACAGGGCGGGACUAGCCUAGAGGUGCGCCGGCCUAGCUAAGCAUCUCGUCGCCGACGACUUCAGCCGCGGACAUCUUCGAUGUGCGCACCCCUGUGAUGCGACCUCCUUUGCGUCUAUUCUCUCUCUUUCUGCUCGUCCCUGAAUUCAAACAGUAUGUGAGAGACCUCUAGAAGACGUUGAGCAUGGGGCACAUUCCAAAGACUUGAGAAAAAAUACAAAACAAUUAAUUUUACUUCUGAUUCCUUAGAAAAACAAGCUUAAAAAUUGAACAAACAAAAUAAAGAAAAGUCACUCGCCCUCGCCGCCCCCUCCAACAAGAGGAAAGUCCAAUUGCGACCUUAUUGGAAGACAUGUAAUUGUCAUUGGGAUGAUUGCUUGUAGUUGAAUGUCGAUUGUGGUAUGAGACUUCCCCCCUCCCUCUCCCGCCGCCUCCUCUGACAAAACAAAGGUCAGUUGCAACCAUGUUGGAAGACAUGCAAUUGCAGUCGGGGGCAAUGCUUGCAGUUGCAUGACUAGUGUGGAACAUGCAAUUACCCCCGUCUCCCCGCUGCCCUCUCCGACAAAACAAAACCCAGUUGCAACCAUGUUGAGAGACAUGCAGUUUGUAGUCGAGGGGGGAGGGCGACGCUUGUAGUUGCAUGACUAGUGUGGGGCAUGCAACUCCCCCCGUUUCCCCGCCGCCCCUCUGACAAAACAAAUCCCAGUUGCACCAAGUUGAAAGACACGCAAUUGCAGUCGGGGCCGACACUUGCAGUUGCAUGACUAGUGUGGGACAUACAACUGCAACCUCCCUCUCCCGGCCGCCCCCUUCGACAAAAUAAAGCUAGUUGGAACCAUGUUGGAAGACGUCAGUUGGAAUCAGGGGGCAACGCUUGAAGUUGCAUGCCUAGUGUGGGACACGNNNNNNNNNNNNNNNNNNNNNNNNNNNNNNNNNNNNNNNNNNNNNNNNNNNNNNNNNNNNNNNNNNNNNNNNNNNNNNNNNNNNNNNNNNNNNNNNNNNNNNNNNNNNNNNNNNNNNNNNNNNNNNNNNNNNNNNNNNNNNNNNNNNNNNNNNNNNNNNNNNNNNNNNNNNNNNNNNNNNNNNNNNNNNNNNNNNNNNNNNNNNNNNNNNNNNNNNNNNNNNNNNNNNNNNNNAACAAUACGCAGUUGCGCCCAAGUUCGAAGACAUGCAGUUGCAGUAAUGUGCAAUGCUUACAGUUGCAUGACUAGAAUUGGACAUGCAGCUGACCCCCCCUCCCCGUCGUCCCCUCGGACAAAACAAUCCCAAUUGCAACCAAGUUAGAAUACAUGCAGUUGCAGUCGGGGGCGAUGCUUGCAGUUGCAUGACUACAAUUGGGCAUGCAACUGACCCCCUCCCCCGCCACCUCUCCGACAAACAAAGUCCAGUUGCAACCAUGUUGGAAGACAUGCAAUUUGUAGUUUGGGGGGUGACGCUUGUAGUUGCAUGACUAGUGUGGGACAUGCAACUCCCCCCGUUUCCCCGCCGCCUCCUCUAACAGAACAAAUCCCGGUAGCACCAAGUUGAAAGACACGCAAAUGCAGCCGUGGCCGACACUUGUAGUUGCAUGACUAGUGUGGGACAUGCAACUGCACCCCCCAUCUCCUUGCCGCCCCCUCCGAUAAAAUACAGCCCAGUUGCAACCUUGUUGGAAGACGUGCAGUUGGAUUGAGGGNNNNNNNNNNNNNNNNNNNNNNNNNNNNNNNNNNNNNNNNNNNNNNNNNNNNNNNNNNNNNNNNNNNNNNNNNNNNNNNNNNNNNNNNNNNNNNNNNNNNNNNNNNNNNNNNNNNNNNNNNNNNNNNNNNNNNNNNNNNNNNNNNNNNNNNNNNNNNNNNNNNNNNNNNNNNNNNNNNNNNNNNNNNNNNNNNNNNNNNNNNNNNNNNNNNNNNNNNNNNNNNNNNNNNNNNNNNNNNNNNNNNNNNNNNNNNNNNNNNNNNNNNNNNNNNNNNNNNNNNNNNNNNNNNNNNNNNNNNNNNNNNNNNNNNNNNNNNNNNNNNNNNNNNNNNNNNNNNNNNNNNNNNNNNNNNNNNNNNNNNNNNNNNNNNNNNNNNNNNNNNNNNNNNNNNNNNNNNNNNNNNNNNNNNNNNNNNNNNNNNNNNNNNNNNNNNNNNNNNNNNNNNNNNNNNNNNNNNNNNNNNNNNNNNNNNNNNNNNNNNNNNNNNNNNNNNNNNNNNNNNNNNNNNNNNNNNNNNNNNNNNNNNNNNNNNNNNNNNNNNGACAUGCAUUCCUCAAAAAAAGUUAGAAGACAUGCAGUCGAGGGCGACACUUACAGUUGCAUGACUACAGUUGGACAUGCAACUACCACCUCUCCCCUCCGCCCCUCCGACAAAACAAAGCCCGGGUGCACCAUGUUGGAAGACAUGCAAUUGCAGUCAGGUGCACCCGGGUAUAGUGGGGGCGCCACUUGCAGUUGCAAGCCUAGUAUCAGACAUGCAACUCCCACCUUCCAAAACAAAAAACAAAAAACACCAGUUGCAACCAUGUUGGAAGACAUGCAGUUGCACUGGGGGGGACACUUCCUGUUGCAACCCUAGUAUCAUACAUGAAACUCCCAGCUUUCGAAACAAGAAACAAAAAGACAAGUUGCAACCAUGUUGGAAAACAUGCAGUUGCAGCCAGGGCGACACUUGCAGUGGCAGGCCUACUAUCGGACAUGCAAUUGCAAUGGGGGCAACACUUGGAGUUGCGAGCUUGGUAUUAGACAUGCAACAACCACCUUAUAAAAAAACAAAAACAAAAGAGCAGGUGCGACCAUGUUGGAAGACAUGUAGUUGCAAUGGGGAUGACGCUUGCAACUGCGAGCCUAGUAUUGGACAUGCAACUCCCACCUUAAAAAAACAGUUGCAACCAUGUUUAAAUUAGAUGCGGCUGCAGUUGCAUCUAGACAUGGAACUACGCUCCCACCCUCCUCGGACUUGCCCCACCCCAUCUCUCCCGCCGCCCUCCAAAGAAAAUACAAGGCCAAAUUGCAGUUGUGGUCGGGGCGGCACUUGCAGUUGCAGGCCUACUAUCGGACAUGCAAUUGGAAGUCAUGCAGUUAUAGUCUGGAUGUCAGUUAAUGUUGUAAGCCUAGUGCUAGGAUGCAACUACCCCCACCCACUCAGACUUGCUACUGCCCACCACCCCUCUCUCCCGCUGCCCUCCGAUAAAAACACAAGGCGGUUACGGUCGGGGGAGAGGCAUGCAGUUCUAAGCCCCAUCAGAUGUGAAUUUCUUGGGCGGGGGUGACACUUACAAUUGCAUGUCUAGUGUUAAACAUGCAAAUCCCCCCCCCCCCACCUCGCCCUCCCGCUACCCUUCGACAAAAAAAGGCAAAAUGGAUUUUCUCCCUAUCUAAUAGAUGACAAAACCCAUCUAGUUGACAACAAAAAAGGAUUGUUGCUUCGCCAUCUAGAUUCCCGCAACUAAAAAAUUAUGACAAAAAAGAAAAGAAAACCGAUGAUGGUUUGUGUUCAGAUUUACUUUAUUAUGUGGGUGUGACAAAACUUAUAAAGAAGAGGGUGGGAUGAUAAGUAGGGAGGCUUAGUGGCUGCACGUUUCUUCAGACUUUCUCAAUAGAAGGGGCUUUAAGAAAAAAAGGACAGUGAUGCUUCAAUUGAAAUGCAUGUUUGCCAUUUUGACCAUCCCCACACCCUCUCAACCACCACCUAAAAAAAUUAUUUUCGCGAGGUUGGCAUUAAAAAAAUAGGACGCGGAAUCAUGAAGGGGAUUUAAAAGUUAGCUACUUAGGUAACUCCUGCAAAUUACUUUGUUUUCAUGAAAAAUGAAUUACAAAAACACAAAGGCAAUUUGUGAGUGUUUAAUCAAAUUGACACUCUUCAUUCUAUGUUGGUAAUAGAAGAAACUAACAACCAGGAAAAGAACAAUUUUGGACUUUUACUUGAAGCAUGCCAAAAACGAAAACAAAAACUGGAUCGGAAAACAUGUACUAUAUUCUUGCUUGAAAAAGCAGUUUAGACUUACAAAACAAAAAAAAUAUAGUUUACUUAUGUAAUUUAAGUUCAUAUUCAAAUUAUUCCUACCAUAGAGUAACAAAAGCAGAUGGAGUUGUCAAUAUAGAAUGAUUAGCAGAGGCUCUAUUCUAACAAAGGUCAACUUAGGCAGCCUAACACAUGUUUGUAGAAGGGUAAAAUGAGUUUUUAGUUUAAUCUCUGUGCAGGACAUGUGUAGCUAGGGUGCUUGUUUGCAUCAGGACAAACAAAAAAAAAGAACAUACUCUCUUGUCUCUCCUUGGGUUAAACUGGCUUAAUCAAUCUUUUGUUCUCCUGCAAAAGGAAACCACUCCCUGUUUUACUAACUGUCAACGAGUCAUAACAUAAAAAAAGGCAGUACUGGUACUACUUUUGCUCAAAUACUAUACAAGAUCUUCUCAGCUAAAAGAUCCUAAUUAACUUCUCUAAGUACCUACAGGCAAAAAUAUAUUAGUAGUACUGAUAGUACUACUUCUGGCCUUACACAUGUAUAAAUCAAACGGGUCAGUACUAGUGCUGCUGGACUUUUGCACCUNNNNNNNNNNNNNNNNNNNNNNNNNNNNNNNNNNNNNNNNNNNNNNNNNNNNNNNNNNNNNNNNNNNNNNNNNNNNNNNNNNNNNNNNNNNNNNNNNNNNNNNNNNNNNNNNNNNNNNNNNNNNNNNNNNNNNNNNNNNNNNNNNNNNNNNNNNNNNNNNNNNNNNNNNNNNNNNNNNNNNNNNNNNNNNNNNNNNNNNNNNNNNNNNNNNNNNNNNNNNNNNNNNNNNNNNNNNNNNNNNNNNNNNNNNNNNNNNNNNNNNNNNNNNNNNNNNNNNNNNNNNNNNNNNNNNNNNNNNNNNNNNNNNNNNNNNNNNNNNNNNNNNNNNNNNNNNNNNNNNNNNNNNNNNNNNNNNNNNNNNNNNNNNNNNNNNNNNNNNNNNNGGUACCACACCAGAAAAAUGGGUUCAGAAAAAAUCUGAAAAAAAAUCAACAUGCCACCAUUACUGAUGGGUUCAGUAAUCAUUAUUUUGAUUACCAUAGAAAAAUAUUUGAACAUGCUACUGAUUCAUAGGGUUUCAGCAAUCUGUAAAAACAAAAGCAAAAUAACACUACAAGUGAUAGGUUCAGAAAAUGAUUCUCUUGAUUCCAGAGAAAGAUUGAACAUCCUACUGAUUCAUAGGGUUUCAGCAAUCUGAAGAAAAAAAAUGCCACUGUUAGUGAUAGGUCCAUUAAUAAUCCUUUUGUUUCCAUAGAAUGAUUUCAAAACAUGGUACUGCUCCACAAAAGUUUUCAGCAAACUGAAACACAAAAAUCACACAAAAAGGGCUAAAAUCCUAGAGCCGAUUAUAUCCAAACAAAGGACACGAAGCUAUUAAUCCACACUUGUUCCAAACAAAAUGGAACCCAACCCCCCUUAGAUCUACAGUGUAGCACCAACAAAACAAACAAAAACAGAUGGAGAAAAGGAGGGAAAAACUUACUCCACCGGAAGCGUCGCCCAUCCUCUUGCUGGGCGUGCAGGAGCGAGCCGAUUUCUUCAAUUCAAGGAACCUUGGAUCUCUGCAGCUCUCCUUUAUCCAGCACAGUUCUUCGGAUGAGAGAGAAGAACAGAGAGAGGCGAGGAAAUAGACCCCGACGACUGGUCGUUCCCCUCCUCUUAGUUACCACGGGGUAGCUAUUUCCCCUUCCCUUUCUUUAUUGUGGCCCAAACAACAACACAGAAAAAAAGGACAAACAAAACAAAAAAGCCUAGCCC
rnacentral:lncRNA from 1 species